rnacentral:lncRNA from 1 species
CUCCACAUCUUCCAACUAUACUUCUACCAAUAUCUACCAAGUCUGGUGAAGCAUUGGCCCAAUUAUUAUUGUUAUCAAAAGUAAAGAUUUUCUUGGUAAAGAGUUCAAAACUGUUUUCCGAAUCUAGAGGUUGCAACACGUGUAUUGAGAAAUCCCCUCCUAUGUAUCUGCCUACAUUACUAUUUCGAGAGGUUAUAAUUAUCCUACUGCCAAUUUUUGAAUCACAUUCAGGAAGGACAAGUUUUAGAUCAUCCCAAAUUUCAACAUCCCAAAUGUCAUCUAAGAGAAUAACAUACCUUUUUAUUUUCAAGAGUGAUCGUAGGUUGUUCUCCAAGUUUUCUUUCCUUUCCUCUUCCAUCAGUCCAACUUGUUUGGCUAUGUCAUGUAAGAUUUCUCCCGCCCUUGGCUGUUGUGAAACAUAGACCAGUCCCGAACACUCAAAUUGAUCACGGACUUGCCUAUAAAGUUUCUUGGCAAGAGUUGUUUUUCCUAGACCGGGCAUGCCAACUAUUGAAACAACUCCAUAAGGCAAAUCAUGAUCAAGUAAUUUGGCUUGCAGCUUAUUGAAGUCAUCAUCCAAACCGAUGACCUCUGUUUCAUCAGCAUGAAGGAAUAAUCUUCUUUGGUCCAAUGGAAUGCAAUCAUCACUAUUGUUGUUACUUGUAUCCAUGAUGUUGUAAGUUGUCCUUACACGAUCAAUGUCAGCAACUCUUCUUUUUAUCUUCUCAAUCUCCAUAGCAAACUCAUCCGCAAAAGAAACCGUCUUAAGGCAACAAAUGAAAUUAUUGGAUUGUUGAAUUUUUGGAAGAAACUCAUCUAAUAGAUCCUCCACAUCACCUGCCAGUUGUUGAAUAUCUUUUAAUAAGUUUUUGACCCUUGAAUGGCCUCCAACUUCCUUGGCCUUUGCAUCGUCUACAUAUGAUCGAAUGUGUCUCAUUUCUCUGUGGAGCCAAUCUAUGUCCUCUUUUAACCAAUAUAAACGCGUUCCUUCUUGAAAGAGUACAUUUCCAGCUAUUUCUAUUGAUUUAUUGAUGACUGCUGUGAGAAGAAUUUCAGCCAUCUCUUUUUUCCUUAAAUUUCUUUUUUCUAAAUGUGAGGAUUAGCAAGGGAAAGUAAGAGAAAAUUAAAAGAUGAUCAAUUAUUGGUAAAAGGAUAAGAAAGAUGCAGUAUUUGCUUUAGGUGUUGGAGUCAACGGCCAAGUCUACUAAUAAUAAUGUCAAGUAGAUGAAAAAGAAAGAACAAAUGGACAGAAACAACUACUCCGUUCAUAUUAAAUACAAUAAUUCAUCUUUUCUUAAUCAUAUUAGCUGGUAUUUUGUUUUCAAGCAUGCAGGGGCGGACCCACCGUUACCCGAUGCCCUUCGUCGAAAAAUUACGAGGUCAAAUUUUGAUUUUAUAAAUAUAUAUAUAUAUACAAGUAUUAACACAUCUGGACACAAGUUAAAAGGUUUCGUGUAUUAAGGUGUUACGAAAGUUCCUUGAGGUAGUGUGUUUUUGUGCUAUUAGCCUCAAAUUAUAUUUUUUUAUUACAAUCAUUGACACCUUAAUGACAAUCUUUGGAUCCACGUUAAAAGUCAGACAAUUGAUGCAGUACUACGCGAAAAAUUCAAUGGCAAAGAUGAGUUCACACCGAAGCUUCUGGAAUCUCCUUCGUCCGAUUAUAUUUCAGUUCAUUAAAACAAGGGAUAAGGGCCUGAAAAAUAUUCCAACUUUGGUCGAAUUUGCUGUUACGAUACUAAACUUUCAUGAGGACCUAUUACCUCCCUAGACUAUUUAAUACCGUAUUUUAAACAUAUAUAUUUGCCCACGUGGACAUAAAAAAUAAUGCAAAAUUAUAAAUAGUAAUGUGUCCACGUGGACACAUAUAUACCUUUAAAAUACACUAUUAAAUAGUUCAGGGGGUAAAAAAUACGGUAUUAAAUAGUCUAGGGAGAUAAUAGGUCCUCAUAAAAGUUUAGUAUCGCAACAACAAAUCCGACCAAAGUUGGGGUAUUUUUCAGACCAUUGUCCCUUAAAACAAGGCAAAAAUACUCAUUACCCCCUUGAACUUGAAACUUUUUAUACGGUGUGCACCUAAACUAAAUUCCAUUUUAAUUAACUCCGAACUUGUUUAUUCCUCCAUCACGUACAUCUUUUUCGUCCACCUGCUCCUAUUGUGUAUUCCUCCAUUAUGUACACCUUUUUCGUCCACCCGGUCCUAUUGUGACUACACGCGCGCGACAGCUGGCAAAAGUGGUGAUGUGGAUUUCCACCUGGAUAUAUAAUAGCCACCUAGAUAAAUUAAUAUUGCAAAAAAUAAAUUUCCUAAAUUUAAAAUUCAUUGUUUAAAAGUUAUUUUUGAAUAAGGGUUGAUUUCGCGGAACUCCUUGAAUUUCAAAUUUGUCUGAAAUUCUUACCAAGUAAGUGUUAAUCUUUGUUUCCUUUACUUUUCAUUUACAUUUUCGUCGCGUACACCUUUUUUUUCCACUUACUCCUGUUGGGACUACACGCGCGCGACAGCUGUCUAAAUUGGUGAUGUGGAUUUCCACCUGGAUAAAUUAAUAUUACAAAAAAAAAUAUUCUUAAAUUUUAAAUUCAUCGUUUAAAAGUUAUUUUUGAAUAAGGGUUGAUUUCGCGGAACUCCUUGAAUUUCAAAUUUGUCUGAAAUUCUUACCAAGUAAGUGUUAAUCUUUGUUUCCUUUACUUUUCAUUUACAUUUUGCCCUAUUUUUCAUUUAAAAUAUGCCAAAUAUUAAACAAAAAUGGAGAUUUUACGUUGUUUUUUUUUACCGUUGUAGCUUUGUGAUGUGGCAAAAAAUCACUUCCUCACGCGCCUAGUAGAGUGUGUUGUCAAUUUCUACACCAGGUGGACGAAAAGGUGUACGCGACGGAGGAAUAAACAAGUUCGGGGGGGUAAUUAAAACGGAAUUUAGUUUAGGUGUACACCGUAUAAAAAGCUUCAAGUUCAGGGGGGGUAAUGAGUACUUUUGCCUUAAAACAAUUGUUAAAUCUUUAUUAUAUAUUUCAUUUUCAAACAAGAAUAAAGAAUUUUUAGAGUCGUCAGCCGAUUGAAGCAGUAUAUGAUUAUCCCACUAGAAUAUAUAUAUAUAUACGUGGCACUAUCUUGUGGGCCUAGCGCGUGUUGACAAUUUUUUCAAGGAUAGUGCCACGUAGGCCGAAAAGGGGUAGAAAAUUAUAUAUAAAAUAAAUUCAAGGGGGUAAUAGGACCUUAGUAAAAGUUAGGUGUGUCUCAGAGAUUUUGGGCAUAGAAUGGGGGUACUUAUGCAUUUUCCCUAUAUAUAUCACCAAAGAUCGACGACCUUGGCUAUAUUUAUAUUGGAAAAAUGUUAGAAAAUAUUUUAUAUAAAAUAUAACAUAUUGUUUAUAUAUAAAUAUAUUUGCAUACUAAGAUUGUUCGGUUCGAAAGGUUUUUGAUUUUAUUUUAAAAAUUAAAAAGUUCAUCCCAAUUGUUUGGCACAGUACACACUUAAACAAAAAUCCACGAUUUUAUUAAAUAUUUAUAUAAUAAAUCGGUUUGAUUCGAUUGCUUCAGUCGAUUUUUCAUGUUCUUAUGACACCCCUACAUACAAUCAUAUAUAUCAUACAAUCAUAUAUAUCGCACUUACCUAUUACUGAAAUGACUACUUUUUUAUUACUUCCUUUAAUACAUUUGCAAAAUCAAACCCAAGUGUAUGUAUCAUUGGCUCAUUACUAAUUGUCCACCAUUCUAUGCUACAUGAUUAACACAAUGUAUCACUUUUCUAUCUGUGUUCGUACUUCGUAGUUUGCACCAUGAACACAUAAAUCACAUAGGGAUAUUGAAAAUAUUGUCCACUGCCAGAGAUAUUUCGCUGCAUUGUACUUUUCAAAGAGCUGCUUCCCUAUUCCAAAAAGAGAAUAAGAGAUUAAACAUUUCGAAAUAGAAAGCACUAAACCAAUAAAAAUCCAUAGCCACAUUUAAAAAAUUACUAUGGAGAACAUGUGUGUGAGAGAGAGAAAGCAAGACUGUUUUACUCGAAAAUAUAAAAGAAAAAGAAAAAAUGACUGAGUUUCGAAAAAUCGAUCAAACUUAUGAUUUAAGAGAAAUCGAAUUUCCAAAAGAACAGAGUCGCCACUAAAUUUUUAAUAAAAAUCAAGAAAAAACUUAAGGUUUUCAAAAGACUCAAACAGAUAAAAUCAAUCGAAAAAGGGUUCGAGUUCAAUGUACAUUCCGAGAAGGUGUUAGGACCCUCGAAAUGCCCGCUAACUUGCGGUUGACCGGCGAUUUGACUAAAAAUGAUUUUGACUAAUUUUAAAAUUUUAACUAAGUAAAAGAACUCAUAACGACUUUGACUAAUUUUGAAAUUUUAACUAAGUAAAAGAACUCAUUUACUUUAACUUAUUUUUAAAAAUUUUAACUAAGUAAAUGAACUCAUUUAUUUUAACUUAUUUAUUUAUUACUAUUAUUAUUUUCAUCACUUUAUUUUUAUUAAUGUCAUUUAAUUAUCUUAAGGGGAAAUGAACCAAGGGAUAAUUUUUCUAAAGGGGAAUAAUUUAAGUGACGAGACAAAUAAUAAAGUAAGAGCUAAGUAAUAAAAUAUAUAUACUUUAAUUUGGAAAAUAACAUGAAAUCGCCGUCUUUGGGAAUUUAAUUAAAUUAAACCAUAAGAUAAUCAAGGUUAGUCAAACAAUACAAUAUAAAUAAAGACACAGUAACAUUCUUUUGUGUAACAAAGAUGUCUCAAUUUUUUAGACUCCCAAACACCAAAAGGAAGUUUACUAUAGCUAUGAAAUAUAUCCAGGGUCUCUAGACAUUUGAGCUUGACAAUACUAUUUGGCAAUUUUACUCUAAUUCUCCCCUCCAAUCGCACAUAGCGUAGGCAACUCAUGUUCCCAAUUUUGUUUGGGAUAGUAAUUACAUGCUGAUAACGAUCUCGAGACGUGACUACAACCAACACUUGCAAUAAUUUGAAACUAAGGUGAGCCAUAUGAGAAAAUAGGCAACUGUUAUUGUUGAAACAGAAAAGUGCACGAAGCUUCGUAGGUUUAGGAUUUGAACGGAAGAACUCAUUCAUGGCAUUAUUAUCAGAGUAGAAUGUAAUCCUUCGCACCCUAGCAACAUUGCUGGGAUCACCAAAUGCAUUGUGCUCGGUGUGAAAGAAGUUACUUUCCUUAGCCAAAUCCACACACAAACUAUGUAACAAGUCAUGUAUGCGACAACUUGAAAUUCUUCCAUCAUAUGUCCUUUUGGCAACUUGAAUCAAGUUUCUUGAAACCAAAUCAUUUAGGAAAUCCUCCGCCAAAUUUUCAGCUUCUCGCAUAUUGCCACUAUUUACAACUAUCAACUUCUCAGCAAUCCACAUAUUUGUCAAAUCAAAAGCACGAAUUUCAUGGUCCUCGGGGAAAAGACCAAAGUACAAGAAACAUGGCCUUAAUGCAAUGGGCAAAUCAUUGUAACUCAGAGCCAAUACCUUAGCACAUCCAUCUUGAACUUUAUGGCUCAUACUCUCAAGUAACCUGUUCCAUGCACGUUCUGUUCUUUCUCUUGCCCUUAACAUGCCUGCAGUCACCACAAUGGCUAGUGGUAUACCACCACAUCUACCAACUAUACUUCUACCAAUAUUUACCAAGUCAACUGAAUGAUUAUUAUCAAAAGUAAAGAUUUUCUUGGUAAAGAGUUUAAAACUAUUCUCUGAAUCUAGAGGUUGCAAUACGUGGAUUGAGAAAUCCCCUCCUAUGUAUCUGCCUACAUUACUAUUUCGAGAGGUUAUAAUUAUCCUACUGCCAAUUUUUGAAUCACAUUCAGGAAGAAGAACAAGUUUUAGAUCAUCCCAAAUUUCAACAUUCCAAAUGUCAUCUAAGAGGAUAACAUACCUUUUUCUUUUCAAGAGUGAUCUUAGGUUGCCUUCCAAGUUAUCUUUCCUUUCUUCUUUCGUCAGUCCAACUUGUUUGGCUAUGUCAAGCAAGAUUUCUCCCGCCCUUGGCUUCUGUGAAACAUAGACCAAAUAAAGUUAAGUGACUGUCUAAGAUAAUUAUUCCUAGUUGAGUGAUUUUCUAAGAUAACUACACAUAUGUAAUGACCCUCUUGGUCAUUUUCUUGUUUUGCCUUCUGUGUGUCGUUUAGAGCAUUUCUAUAGCGACCCCAAGUCAUUUAUGGCUUGCUGGGACUGACAGUUCGGUCACCUGGUCGUUCGUUUGGUCAUAAUUUGAGUUUUAGUGUUUUGGAGCUUAUGAACUUUAAACGAUCAUUUUCGAUCAAAAGUUCAAGAAGAUGACAUCGGAAUCCAAUUCUGACGAUUCCAUCAGCUCCGGAAGGGUCAUUUUAGGCUAGAAGCAUGGUCGGCAUGACUCCCGAGGUUUUCAGUGUGAGUUGGUGCGAUUAGGCGUUUUAACCUUUGAAAUUUGGCUUAGGGUUGACUUUGGUCAACAUUCUUGGAAAACGAGCUCGGAUGGAAAUUCCGUCAGCGUGGUUAGCUCCGGAAUGUCGAGUUUGGUCUAGAUUGACCCUUCUUUGUGUCUGGAGGUUUUCGAUAUCUUUCCGAGCCUUUUUUGUGGGUUUUGACUUAAAUGGCUUUUGGAAGUGGUACCCACUUUUUAUCGAAAUGACCUCUGAUGGAAAUUUCGACUGCGCCGUUGAGUCUGGAAUAUCGAAUUUGGUAUGGUUGCAUAUCUCGUUUGCGUGCACGGGGUUCCGAACGAGAUCGGAGUACCCCGUCGGAAUUUUAAGUUUGGAAGUGUUGCAGAUUUUCUGCAAUUUAUUGCAGAAAAUCAGCAACAUUUCCCAAAUUCCAAACCCUCACAACUCUCUCAUCACUCAACCGAUUUGGGUGAUUCAAAAGGCAAAGUUGUGAGAUUUUUUCGAGGGCAACAUGUUGGUGAGCUUGGAUAGUGAUUUGGAGUCCCCGUUUGAGGUAAUUUUCGAAAAAAUACCUGCUGCCAGACCUCUUUUUGUGAGUUUGAUUUUGGAAAUUUUGAGACUUGUUUUCUUAGCCAUUGUAGAUCCGAUUUUGGUGAUUUUUGAGGUAAUCUUGAGUGGUUUUUCGAGGAGAACGUUGUGGUGUUGUUAGAUUUUACUGUAGACUGCUCGUUUUUGGUAAAUACACUGCUGUCCCAUUUCUAUCUUUGAGAAAAUUUGGGUUUUGGUUGUAUGUUGGUAGUGUGUUGUUCCCGAGCCCCGAAUUGUGUCCCAUUUUGGGAUAUGAACUGGGGGAAAACUGGUUAGGACCCACUUUUGGGGUUAAUUUCAGAAUUUCCAGCGCGGGUCCCACGAUUCCCGUUUUGACUCCAAAAUUGACCCGUCUCCGUUUGUUGUGAUUUUAGUGUCUAAACGAAUGUAAUAACGUUGUGAUUCUAUUUUUGAUAGCGGGGAAGCGUUUUGAGGACGUUCGGAAAGGGAAAGCUCCGGAGAAGUGAUUUUGGAGCGCGUGUGAUUGGCCUACAGGUAGGCUACGGUUUGGUAACUGUGAGCAUGCUUUGUGUUAUUAACGGACCCUCCUCGCUAUGUGGAGUACUUGCAUGCUUAAUUACUGUUUAUUUGAAGCAUGUUGGACCUUAGCUUAGGUUUGACUAGGGCUUGCCUUAGAAAUACAUGAUUCGGAUUCGAUAGGCCUUAGUUUUACCCCGAUGUCGCUCGGCUGACUUAGAUCCCUGUAGACUGAUAUAGCAGACUUGAGUCUGAUAGUUUGGGCCUUAUCUAGGCGAUACGCUUUUUCCGAUAAUAGUUAUCCUUAUUUUCUCCGAUACUGCGGCUUCACGAGUUGCAUCGGCAAUACUAGUUCUACUUCGCGAUUUGAAUUAGAUUUUCGAUUUGGUUCCAAGGACUUUCAUUGAUUGGCUAUGUGUGGACGACAUUUCACGGACAUUUAUAAGUACGGAUCGAUUGAGACUCCUUCAGAAGUUACAUUGGCAAAAUCAUAGAGCAUCCGGUUCGAGGUCCGGCCUCUAUUGCGUCAGAUUCUACUAAUUAGGGUUGAGGUUCUGGUUCGAUGUUCUUCGUUCAUGGGUUCUUUUAUGCAAUUCUCUUUAGUUAUAGUUAUUCUGUGUACUCGUCGGGCUUAUGGGGGUCCGUUCGGGUUUUAUAUACUUAAUACUGGUGAUUAGUUACUUGGGUACUUAUAUGGAGCAUCCGGUUCGAGGUCCGGCCUCCGUACUGUCAGAUUUUACUAAUUGGGGUUGAGGUUCUGGUUCGUGUUCUUCGUUCAUGGGUUCUUUUAUGCAAUUCUCUUUAGUUAUAGUUAUUCUGUGUACUCGUCGGGCUUAUGGGGGUCCGUUCGGGUUUUUAUUUAACUUGCGCACGAGUGUACCUUCUGGGCUUAUGGGGGUCCAGUUAGGUGUAGUUAGCUUGUAGAUUACUCUAGUUAGUUCUUUAUACACUCGUGUGCAUUUCAUUGUUAGUUAGAUUUUAGUUCUUGACUUCGGUUUGUGUUAUUCCUUCUUUUCAUACUGCCUUUACUUUUCAAGUUCAGUCGGCCUAUGAUGCCUACUGGGUACCUGUUGUUUUGGUACUCAUGCUACGCUCUGCAUCUAUUUCGUGAUGCAGGUCCGGGCACUAGAAGCCAGCGUUGAUCGAGCUUGGAGCAGACUGAUCCGGAGACGGGAGUGAGCACACGACGUUUUGUACUAUUUCAGUCUCCAUCUGUAUAUAUAGACUUGUCUUUUACCUUUCGAGACAGUCCAGUCUCUGUUGUCCACUUUUGGGACUUGUACUCAUUUUGUUAGUAGCUCUGUACUAGUGACUUCCAGGUUCUGGGAGGGAUCUUUAUUUGUAUAUAUGUUUUUGGUUUGCUUCCGCCUGUUUAUAUUGUUAUUUGCCUACUCUUGUUUAGUUUCUACCCUCAGACCCAUUACUUGUUGUUCCGGUUUACGGGUUGGCUUACCUACUGGUGGGUAGUAGGUGCCAUCAUGACUUGAGAAAUUGGGUCGUGACAAGUUGGUAUCAGAGCCCCAGGUUUAUCGGUCUCACUUGUACAGAGCUAACGUCUAGUAGAGUCCUGCAUAUCGGUGCGGAGACGUCCGUAAGUAUAGUUGAGUGACUUUUGAUUUACAAAAUAAAGUCAAGUGACUUUCUGAGAAAACUAUCAAUAGUUGAGUGACUUUUGAGAAAGAUAUUCAUAGUUGAGUGACCAUUUGAGAUAUUAUCUCAAAAGGCUUUUAUUUAGAUUAAUUUCUUAGUAAAAGAUAAGGCAAGAAGGAACUACAAAUUUUAAAGUACAACUUUUGAUAAGUUAUUCUUUUUUUAAAAACCUAACAAAAUAUUAUUUAUAGUGAACAAAUCAUCUGACAAUAAACCAAGUCAAUUCUUCAUAAUACCCAAGUCUUAUUAACUUCACCGAGUGUUAAUCUGAUAACAAUAUCAAUAAGUUAAUUUUGUGGUUGAGUUAUGGUAUACGUUUCAAUCUUGAACCGUAUUCUUAUUUUCUUAAAGAAUCAUAUUCUUAUUUUUUUCCCUAAUAACUUUAAUUAAUAAAUAAGUAGAAAGAACUAUUUUUUUCUUCUUAAUAUCAUUUUAUCAACGGAAAAGGGUCAAAAUUGCCCCUGAACUAUGUGAAAUAGACCACUUAUACCCUUCGUUACAUUUUGGGAUCAAAAUUGCCCCUGCUGUUAUCCUAAGAGACCACAAAUACCCUCAAGAGUUAACACCCCAAAUUUUUAAUUGACGUGGCAAGUUACAUGGGACUAAUUCUUCCACCUAAGUGUUGCCAAUUAGGAUUCACUAAAAAAGAACUAGACCUUUAGCAGCGACAACAGUCGCCACAAAAGCCCAGAAAAUCGUCACUAAAAGUUUUUAACAUUAAAUUCUAAUUUUGUGUUUUUUUCUUCAUUGUUUUUAAAAAAUUAAAAUAUCGAUUAAGUAGGAGUUUUAAGACACUAUAUGUUUUAUUUUUAUGUCAUAUGUAAAUGUAUAAAAUGUACAAUGAUGCAUUAUUAUAUAGUAGGAGAUUUAAAUCGAGAAGUAAUUUUGAUGAUUUUUCGUAAUAAUAUUGGAUGUUUUUUAAUAUUGAUAUUGCAAGUUAUUUAUUUUAGAAAAUUAGGUUGCAAUAUAAAAUUAAUUAUCAUAUUUUUUUUGUUGAAAAAAUAGGUUUUAUUAGUGAAUGGUUGUUGGAGCUUUAGUCGCCACUAAAAAUCACUCAUAACCUUUAGUGGCAAUAUUUUGAGAUUUUGUGGCGACUUUCUCGCCACUAAAGGUCAAGUUCUUUUAUAGUGAAUCUUAGUUGGCAAUGCUUAGGUGGAGGGAUUAGUCCCAAGUGGCUUGCCACAUCACUAAUAAUUUGGGGUGUUAACUCUUAAGGGUAUUUGUGGUCUCCUGGGAUAACGACGAGGGUAUUUUUGAUCCCAAAAUGUAAUGAAGGGUAUAAAUAGUCUAUUUCACAUAGUUUAGAGGCAAUUUUGACCCUUUUUCAUUUUAUCAAUUAAAAUAGAAUAAAUGUACAUAUCUUUUUAAUUGAUAAUAUUGGUCAUACAUAUAGGAGCAUAGUAAUUAUACAAUUUGUUUACUACUAGUUCUAACUAUUUUGUAUUAAUCAAAUAUAACUUAAAGCUAAAAAGAAAAGUACCUGAUAGGUUGGAAUUUAGCUGAUGCAGUUCCUUGAUUGGAGUAAAUAUUAAUUAUAAGUGUUUUUUUCAAAAGAUGGAAAUUGACAAAUUAACCAAUAACUUCAAUUCUAUUUAUAAGUAUAUUUUUUAUAAAAAAAUAAAUAAAUUAGUUCAAUACUUGACUUGAAUGUGAGGGUAAGAUGGGCCAUAAUUUCCAAUUUAUUCUUUACUUAAACCAUAUAUAGGCAUCUUACCUUUUUUCUCAUGAAAAAGUAAAAGGAAAGUAUAAUGUUGGAGAAUUAAAAAAAGAUAAUCAUAUUUUCACUUUUGUCUGGAUGUAAAUGUUACAAAAGAAAUAAAUGAAUAUUUCAAACGGAAGUAUUUCUCGUGAAGAACUCUUUUUUCACUUUAGUUGUAAUUAUUCCAUCGGUAGUUUUGUUACAUAUUAGUUGAUCAUUUUAUUAAAAAUAUAUAGUUGUUCAUCUUUCUAAAUGAAGAAAGCAUUAAUUUUUUUUCCUAUAUUAUCCAUGCAAUUAAUUAUUUUUUAUAGUGUUCACAUUUGUUUAUUAAAUUUUCAAGAAUUUUUUUAAAGAAUGAAUUAAUAAAAUUAACUUCUUAUUUAUGAUACUUAGUAUGCUUGUAAAAAGGAAAAUGAUCAACUGAUAUCGGGAGAGUACCAGAGGCGUAUGUACAUGAAGGGGAGUGGGUUCACAUGCACCCAUCCUCCCCUUCCUAACCCCUAUAUAAUACUACUAUUUUCUAAUUAUCUUUUCAAAUUUGUAUUGGUGAACCCAAGGUUAAAAAGAAUACUCUAGUAUAUUGAUAAGUAUGUACAAAUAGAGGGUGCAUAACUUAUAGAUUUGUGGUUCAAAUUUUUAUAUCCACAUUAAUAUUUUUAAUUUUUAAUUAAUAUAACAAAAUGUGCCACUUUUCAUAGAUCUUUUUAAUAAUUUAUAAAUAAAAAGAGGUCCAAAUACCCAUAUUUUUAGGUUGCAUUAGCUAUGUCUAGACCUUAAGCUAGAAAUGUCAAUAAAGUCAAAUUAUAUUUUUACUUUCUUUUUCUCCUUUCCUUCUUUAGACGUUUUUCUUAUUUAUUUAUUUUAACUUUUUCUUUUGACUUUUCAAAGUCCUAAUCUGAAAGGUAAAAAAGAGUAAAGACAUCAUAUUGUUCUUCUUUUGGCUUCAUUCCACUUUGUUGUUCAUGGUGAAGUAGAAGUGGGAUUUGAGAACAAGUAACAAGGUAUGCUAUCUAAAAAUAAAUAAAUUAUUUAUUAAUGUACUUCAUUUGUUUUAUAUGUUUUUCUUGAUUUAUGAAGUGGUGCCAUUAUUUGAUUGCUUGAAUAAUUAAAUUUAUAAGAAUUUCUUGAUUUCUAAAUAGUUAUCUAAGAAUUGUGAUUCUUUUAUUAGUAAACUUGUUAUUUGUGUUAAUAUUUUUUAAAAAUUAUUUUGUUUUGAUAAGAUUGAAUAGAAGUGUGAAUAUUUAAUUUUGUAGGUAAAAUAAUUCUUACAUUCAAAUCAUCAAAUCACAAAUGGAUAAGUUUCUCAUCAAGUUACCAAAGCCUAAAGAUGGCCAACCAAGUUCUAGCUCUAAUAAACCAUUUGUGAGUUCACAAGUUGCUCCGGAAGUUCAAAGACAUAUAAAUUCUUUUCCACUUUUAAAUACGGAUAAUAUGCUUGAUUUUAAAUCUCUUGAAGCAGAUCCCAAAGACCGAAUGCCUAUUUCAUCUUAUGGUCCUAAUAUUCGAGAUGCGGUAAGGAGGUAUUACAUUCAAAAAAAGCCAUGUCAACUUGUUGAUCAUAUCUUCCCUAAAACUAAGUUUGGAGAUAAAAUGCGUCAAUUUCGACCAACUUGGUUUAAGAGAAGAUCUCAAUGGUUGGAAUAUAGCAUUAAAGCAGACGCGGCAUUUUGUUUGUGUUGUUAUUUGUUCAAGAUUGAACUUGAAAGACUGUCGGAGAUUCAUUUACAAGAGCUGGUUUUAGGUGUUGGAACAAAGCUUUAGAAAGAUUCAAAAACAUGUUGGUAAGGUAAAUAGUAUCCAUCAUAAAUGUUUCAAUAGGAUGCAAGAUUUGAUAAACCAACGACAAUUGAUCCAAUCUUCUUUUGACAAGCAAAGUGAAAAGGCAAGAAGUGAUUAUCGGAUGCGUUUAAAUGCCUCAAUUGAUGUAGCAAGAUUUCUUUUGACAUCGGGAUUUCCAUUUCGUGGACAUGAUGAAAGUGAAGGUUCUGAAUAUAAGGGUGCUUUUCUUGAACUUUUGAAAUGGUAUGGGAAUAGAAGUUUUGAUGUGGGAAGAGUAAUAUUAGGUAAUGCUCCACAAAAUGAUAUGAUGAUUUGUCCGACAAUUCAAAAAGAUAAUGUGGAGGCUUGUGCUAAAGAAACAACUAAGGCUAUCAUUGAAGACUUGGACGGUGACUAUUUUGCAAUAUUAGUUGAUGAAUCAAAUGAUGUUUCUCAUAAGGAGCAAAUGGCUCUAAUUUUGAGAUAUGUCAACAAAAGUGGAAUGGUGAUAGAGUGAUUCUUGGGUAUUGUCCACGUAAAUGAUACAUAUUCUCAAUCAUUUAAAAAGACAAUUUAUUCUUUGCUUUUGGAUCACUCAUUAUGUACAUCCAAAAUACGUGGUCAAGGUUAUGAUGGGGCUAGUAAUAUGCAAGGGAAAAUAUGUAACAACCCAGAAAAAAUUUAAGCUAAGACUUGAACUAUUCUUCGUUGUGAGUAGGGUUUUUUCGAGGAAUUAAAAUUUCUUAAGUGUUAAGGUCACUAGAUGUAGCACCUUGAGUUCGAGAAGGAAUUAAAUUGGAAAUAGUAAAAUCUGAAAUUUUGCAAGUUAUGAUUAAGUAUGAGUUUUGGGUCGACUUAAAACGACUAUAACUCCUAGCUCAGGAUGAGUUAGGUGUAGAUAAUUUUAUUGUCUAUGCUCAAAAGUGUGAUAGCAAGUUUCUCAACUUGAAGGGAAUCAAGCAUCUUAGCGAAGAUCUUUGAAUUAUAUUUCCAACGCCACCAAAUUUGCUAAGUUUCGAGUUCGAAAGAGUGAGAUAUGACCUUUUGAAGUUAGGCUGUCCAGUUAAGGAAAGUCAAAAUCGGAUUUUAGAGGGGUAUUUUGGUCUUUUCCAUACCCAAUCAGAUUUAAUUCGUUUUUAGUAAUAUUUUAAGGGUAUAAUCUGAUUAGGUUCAGUUUAAUAAUCCUAGUUUACGCCUAGGGUUUUAGUUGAGAUUUCAAGAAGAGAAAAGAAGAAAAGAGAAGAAGAGAAAAGAGAAAGGAUGAAGGCGUUUGUCGACGUUCUUGAGAGUUGUUGCGGAUUGUCUUAUUGAUAUGAAAACUCGUCGAGGACAAUUGUAAGUGAAUGAUGGAUGAAGAUCUUUUGAAUGGUUGUUUAGUUUGCUAUAUAGAGCGUAGUAUAUUUAAAAAUGUAAGUAAUGAUGCCAUUAUUGAUAUGAAAACUCGUCGAGGACAAUUGUAAGUGAAUGAUGUUUUUUGCUAAUAUAUUACUAUAUAAAGAUUGCUACUACCUACUUUCUCGUCAACUUGUUCUCACCGUAAAAUUUAUAUAAUUGAAUUAAUUGUCUAUUUUGAAGAUAAUGGUGCCCCCAUGUUCUUGAGAUCCUGGAUACGCCUUUGACUCCAAGGCCUGUAUCUAUUUAACAAUAAAUUGCAGGGACAUAUUCCAGAGACGAUAUGCCAUUUAUCUAAUUUGGUUGAAUUAUAUCUGUAUGGUAAUAAGCUCUCUGGGUUAAUUCCAGAAUGCUACAACUGCUUUCUUUGCAUUCUAACAAAUUAUCUUUAAACUUUCCGUUGAGCCUUUGGAAGAUGAGUAGUCUUCUCUAUCUAAGUGUGUCACAGAAUUCAAUAGAGGGAGAAGUUCCAUCAGAUAUUGGAGGACUGAAAGCCAUUGUAGAACUAUAUCUUUACAGUAACCACUUUUCAGGAAUGAUACCAAGCACAUUCGGGGAACUCCAAAACCUGCAGUAUCUUGAUCUGUCCAACAAUUCUUUUUUUGGCCAAAUUCCAUUAUCCUUUGCCAACUUGAUAAGCUUAGAUUACUUGAAUUUGUCUUUAAAUGCCUUGUCCGGUACUAUUCCUAAGUCUUUGGAAAAACUCGCAUACCUUAAAAGCAUUAAUGUUUCAUUUAAUGAUUUAGAAGGUGAAAUACCGAGUGGAGUGUUUGAAAAUUCCACUUUGCAAUCAUUUCUCGGGAACAAAGGUCUUUGCGGAAUGCACAUAUUGGAGAUUCCUGCUUGUGCUAUCACUAAUCCCAGAAAACAAUCAAAGCUUAAGGAGGUUGUGCUAAAAAUUGUUACUCCAGUGGUUAUUGCAUCCUUUCUGAUAUUCUUGUUCGUUUCAAUUUGGAUAAUGAAACGACAGAGAAAGGGAUGUCCAAAGAUGUUGAAAAGGUAUUGGAGAUCGGGACUCAUCAAUUAAUUUCUUAUCAUGAGAUUCAACGAGUAACAAAUAAUUUUGAUGAAUCCAAUUUAAUAGGUGAGGGAAGCUCUGGCUCUGUGUACAAAGGAACAUUGUUUGGUGGAACUGCAGUGGCCAUUAAGGUUCUCGAUUUGGAAAAUGAGCAAGUAUGCAAGAGGUUUGAUACCGAAUGCGAAGUGAUGAGAAAUGUUAGACACAUAAAUCUUGUUUCAGUGAUUACUACAUGUUCUAAUGACUAUAUAAGAGCCUUUGUUCUGCAAUUUAUGCCCAAUGGAAGUCUUGAGAAUUGGCUGUACAAAGAAGAUCGCCACUUGAACCUUCAUCAAAGAGUCACUGUAAUGCUUGAUGCAGCUAUGGCAGUUGAAUAUCUACUUCAUGCAGGGGCAUAUAUAGGAGGGGGUCACCGGGUUCACGUGAACCCAUGGUUCCCUCCGAAAAUCAUAUAUAGUAGUGUUAUAUUUUUUUAAAAUAUUUAAAUAUAGAUGCGUGAACCCAGACUCGAAGUAUCAUAUAAUGUAGUACGAUGAUGAUUGGGUGCACCUCUCUAGGUGAGGUUAAAAAUUUGAAUCUUUUAUCUAUCUUGUUUUAGUUUUCUUUCUAAGAUUUUGUAACUGGUUUGGAUCAAUAAAAGUUAAUUUUGGACCUAUGAUUUUAAAAUUUUAAUGGUUUUCAGUAAAAAGAAUAUAACUGAUCAAAUUUAUGUCUUAGAUCCACCUUAUUGUAAUAGUGCACCCAUUAUCUAUAAAUCCUGAAUACGCCUCUGACUUCAUGGUCAUGUCGCUCCAAUAGUUCAUUGCGACUUAAAGCCAGCAAACGUUCUUUUGGAUGAGGAUAUGGUCGCUCAUGUUGGUGAUUUUGGAAUCUCUAAGAUUUUAGCUGUCAGCAAGUCCAUGGCACAUACAGAGACAUUGGGGCACUCUUGGAUACAUUGCACCAGGUAUAAAAAGCCUACUCUCAUUGAUUUUCUCUUAUCAUAAUUAUAUUUCAAUUGAGUAACUUUUGUGCAAUCCUUUUCUACGAAUAUGGCUCGGAGGGAAUAGUGUCCACUAGUGGUGAUGUUUAUAGCUAUGGCAUCAUGUAGAUGGAGGUUUUGACGAAAAGAAGGCCAACAGAGGAAGAGAUAUGCAAUGGAAAUCUCGACUUGAGAAAAUGGAUUACACAAUCAUUUUCAGGGAGUAUGAUGGACGUUGUGGAUGCCAAUCUUUUUUGUGAGGAAGAACAAACCACUAGUAAAAGUGAAAUGUGCAUAGCCUCCAUGAUAGAAUUGGCUUUAGAUUGCACAAAGGAAGCGCCACAAUCAAGAGUGACCAUGAAAGAAGUAGUGAAGAGGCUUAACAAAAUCAAGAAUGCAUUUCUAGAAACAUAGAAUUGCAAAUUAAUAUGAUGCUUUUUGUUGUUUAAUAAAGUUGUCGUAUAGUACUACUUGAAUUCAUGUAUUGUUUGUAAUUUCAUUUGAGUGAUUAUGUUUUGAAUGCUUGAAAGAAAUCAGAAAUAAAGGUGUUUAGCUGCACGAUUUUGUUUUUUGAAUGUGAUGAAACAAUUAGUGAAUUGAGCACUUUUGAUUUCCUUGUACUAAUUAAUUACUGUAAACAAUUAGGGAAUUGAGCACUUUUCAUUUUCUUGUACUAAUUAAUUACUGACUUCUUUGGACUUUACCUGCACAAGUAUUCCAACAAGCCUAUCUUAACACCAGAGAGUUCCAAAAGAAAAAUUGGUAACCUGAGCCAGCUUCCAAUUUUGUCCUUGGUCGAUAAUCAUUCCCGAAACACUGUUGUCCCUAUCUGAGCCAGCUUCCAUUUUUUCACAAACAGUGUAACAUUUAUAUAAGCGAGCAAUAAACAUCUCUAUUAUAACCUUAGUAAGCUCAGUAUGAGUAUUAUGGUUGAGUUUCAAGCGAAAACAAGUUUAGCAAAAAAGACGAGAAAUAAUGGUAAAAAACACUUUUGAAGUAUCAUUUUUUUAGCGAGUUUCAUGCCUGAAAGGUUUUUUAAUUUCCUGCUUGAACUGCCACCAACUAUUUAUUAGAACAUACCUCUCGAAUUCUAUAUUUAUAUUAAAUGGUUAAGCAACAUACAAUUUUUUCCAAACUUGUCUUAGACUGCAUGACCUCUCAUUGACUUGGUUCUGGACCAUAUAAUAAAUAAUGCAACUUAUUUAAUUAAAAAAAAAUAUGAUUUUAAUAAUACAAGUUGACUGACUUUUCUCAAUCAAUUCCCUUACCCCUCAGUAUACGCAUAAUUGACCUGUCUUCUUGUGGUUUUGUCUUUAUAAAGUUGGCCUAUGUAAUAUUCCUCAAUGAGAUGACAUUUCAAUAACGUGUAAUAAUACAUCACAGAAAAGUUUGUGGAAAUCACAACCAUAUCUAUAAAAUGAUUUGACUUUAAAUAUUUCAUUCAAUAUGAAUUUUAUAGUUUAGGUAUGAAACUUGCAAAACAAAAAUAGUUCAGUGGUUUAUUAACCUAUUCAAUCUUAAACGAAUGCUAUGAUCACUUUAUCUUUCAGUUACAUAUUACACAUAAAAGUUGUUCAAGAAUAUUAUAUAUUCACAACAAUUAUUAAUUAUAGUGAAUGAAAAAAUAUAUUAUGUAUGAUUUCAGAUUCACUGUUAUGUAAUCGAAAUGCACAAACAAGUUUCUAGGGGAAGAUUUACCAUAAUUAUAACGAUGAACAGGCCGUAGAUAAAUUACUUUCUGGGUAAGCAUUGUGCAUGUAGCUAGUUACGACCCGAUUUCGAAGACUAAGGUUUCGAAGCCAUUUUCGCAACUUUGGCAAAUUUUAGUUAGGUUUUGGAAAAAUUUAUAAUUUGGAAGUCGCCAUUUAAUUUUUUAGGAAAAAUUAAGAAAGCCAUUUAAAAGUGGGUUUUAUGAAAGAAAACAUUUCAACAAAACUAGAGUCGGGAAAGGGUUCAAGUAAUUCUCUAAGGAAGGGUUUAGGCAUCUUAAAGAAUCUGCUAACACUUGAUUGACCGAUGGAUUUAAAAGUUGGCUAAUUUUUUUUAAAGAUAACUUAUUACUUGUGAAAAUCUUGUUGAGAAUAACAAAAGCCUUUUGAUACUUAUACACUAAUCUUAUUCCAAGUAAUGAAAUAAGUCAAAUGCUAAAGUGUCAAAAUAAUAAUUUUAAAUUUAACAUUUUAUCCGAGUUAAGAUUUUGAACUAAAUGGUUAGCUCAAUCUCACCAACGUGGAUUCAAAGCUAAUUGCUAACUAUGAAAGAAUAUGGAAAAAUCUCAAGUUAGUCUAAGAGCUUAAGUUGCCUAACUUGAAAGAGUUUUGAAAAUUUAAAUACUUAAAGUAGACAACUAACGAAAUAGAAGAGCCAUUAAAAAACUCCCAAGGAUUCAUCUAAGUUAGAUAUAAGAAGAAAAUGUUAGCAUUUCUAAAAUAAGAACAGAAACAAGAUAACACAAAUAAAUAACAAGAAUCUAGGCUCUUGGCCUAAAAUGCUCCUCACUUACUGUUACGGUAUAAAUUGGACCUUUUUAAGUCCAAAAGUUCCCAAUUUUAGUCCUUUUGGGACUGCUUCUACUGCUGCAAUAAUCAAAUUGGAUUCUUAAAUCCAAAAUUCAAUUUUCGGCCAUUUGGAAUUGUUGUUACUCCGCUACUUAGCUGCUGCCACUGAUUUGGGUUUUAACCCAUUAAUAUUAGCUUCCCCUUUAUAACUUUGGCGGAGGUCGACUCAAAGAAAGGAAGAUGCAAGAGAGGGGAGUCCAAUUGGACUCAUUCGGAGGGAGUUCCUGCAAAGUAGAGAAAAGGAAGAAGAAUUAGCACAUGUAGCGAGAAAAUGACACUUCAGUUUUAAACAUUCAAACACAAGGAUGAAAUUAACCAAAUAAAACUAUCGUGAACAAAGGGGGAAAAGAAACAGAUCCGAAGCUAUUGCUAAGUUCAUAAAUCCACAAAAUGAUUAAUUAGUCACUGGACCUUUUGAUCUAUACAACCAGCAAAAGGCAUACUUACAAUGGCCAAAAUUGUACUAAACAUGCAAACGUAAUCAGCCAUCAGUUAAAUAAAAGAAAAGAUAGUAGCGUUCCGAUUUUAGCUUAGACUUCAUAUAUCAUUGACUAGUGACUUCUUUCACCAAAAACAAGCUCAACGUACAUAUCUAUAACAAAACUACAAAAGCAGACCCCAAAAGCAGAGCCUUCAGGCAACAACUUCUUUUGAAAUCGAAAAACAAAACACCACUUUAUAUAAUUAAGACGAUAAAAAAAAGAAUUCCAGAUUUGAACCAAUGAAAAUCGAACAUAGUCUAACAGAAGGAGUACAACUAUAUUCAGAAAAAUGAGAACUGGACAGAUUUUAAAACAAAGAAAACUAAUUAAAUAUCUCAAACUCAAACCAAUCUUUAAAGCAGGGGAUUUAAAAAAGAUUGCUAAAGCAAAAGACUACUACAAGAAGCUUUACCAGGAGACAAGCAGAGAACAUUCAAUACUAAAUAACACGUCUCAAAUAAUCAGUUUAAGGCACAAAAUAGAAAGAAAUUGCUAAAUGAGCUCACAUUUAAAAAUCAAAACGACACCAACAUCUAUUUUGAGAAACAAAGAAACCUUGAAAUAAUCCGCAUGAUACAGAGGAAUUAAAAGGAGACUUAACCAUCCAAACUAAAAAAUAAAUAAAAAAUGUCUAGCAUAAGACAAACAAGAAGCUUCUCAUCCAUUUCCGAUACAACUAAGAAAAACUAAAACUAUUAAGAGCGAAUUUGCGGGUAUUUAAGAAACUAUUAAGACAAGAAAUAAAAUACUAAGACCUUAGUUUUAAAUCUAAUUAACCAAUUUACAUAUUCAAGUUUUCAAAUCAGUGAACUGUUAGCCAUAACACAUAACAAAAAUUAGCAUCUACAAUAGAAAUUAACAUAUAGAGUAGAAACUAUACCAAGCAAGAAUAAAUAGUCUAGAACAGAAAACUUAACAACAUAAAAAUAAAGAAACUUAUGAGACUAAACCCACAUAAAACAACAAAGAAAUCAUACUAUCCAAAUGCUCGAACCAACUUAAGGAGAGAAAAGAAUUUACCUUUUGCCGAGCAGGAACCAAGACGACGAGCUCGAGAAUGACACCACCUUCAACUCUGUUGGUAAAUUUUAGUAGUAUGAGUUUUAGAAAGCAGAGAAGUCAAGAAGAAUAUUGGUAGAAGAACAUUUUUAUUGAUGUCUUCAGAUUUCAUUUAUAAGACUGGAAUGAAAAACAGAAAGCAGUAAACCCACUACUAGCAUAUUCCUAACUCACUAACUUACUCCUAAAUGAUAGGAAUAAAUGGCUAACAACUAAUUGACUAAGUCUUAUCUAAUAUAAUGCAGUAAAAGUAAAAGUGCAGUUGAAAAAGCAAAUUCCUAACACUCCUCCUUGCUUUGGAAACUGCAAACUCCAAUUUUCUGUCUAAGAAGCUGAAACUUGCCGACUGGUAAAGGCUUAGUGAAUAUAUCAUCCAAUUGUUCUUCCGUCUUGCAGUAGACAAGAGUUAUAUCUCCAUCUUUUUGCACUUCUCUCAAGAAAAAGAACUUGAUUUUGAAGUGCUUAGUUCUUCCAUGAAACACAGGAUUGUGAGAUAUAGCUAUUGCUGCUUCAUUGUCCACGAACACUUUGAUGCUUCCAGUCGGUUCCAUAUGCAAAUCAACCAGAAUUUUCUUCAGCCACAAUGCUUGAUUUACUGCUGCUGCAGCUNNNNNNNNNNNNNNNNNNNNNNNNNNNNNNNNNNNNNNNNNNNNNNNNNNNNNNNNNNNNNNNNNNNNNNNNNNNNNNNNNNNNNNNNNNNNNNNNNNNNNNNNNNNNNNNNNNNNNNNNNNNNNNNNNNNNNNNNNNNNNNNNNNNNNNNNNNNNNNNNNNNNNNNNNNNNNNNCCUGAAGUACUCUUUGCAUCAUCCUCGGAACCGCCCCAAUCACUGUCGGAAUACCCACAAAGCUUCACAGGUUGACUCUUCUGAAACUUGACUCCAUAGGUGAUGGUUCCUUUGAUGUAUCGCACAACUCUUUUGGCUGCCUGCAAAUGUACUUCACUAGGACAAUGCAUGAAUCUUGAUAAAACACUUACAGCAUACAAUAUAUCAGGUCUUGUUGCUGUAAGAUACAUUAAACACCCAAUGAAACUUCUGAAGUAUGUCUCAUCCACCUUUUCGGCUCCAUCAUCUUUACUUAGUUUCUCUUUUUGGUUCAUGGGAGUACUAAUCUCUUUGCAAUUGUCCAUUUUGAAUUUCUUGAGAAUUUCCUUUGCGUACUUUUUCUGGCAAACGAAAAACUCAUCUUUUCCUUGUGUAAUCUCCAUUCCAAGGAAAUAUGUCAUAAGACCAAGAUCAGACAUUUCAAAAGCUGGCAUCAUAGCUUGCUUGAACUCCUCAAUUAGCUUUUCACUGCUCCCUGUAAUCAAAAGGUCAUCCACAUAAAGAGAAACAACAAGAAUCUCACUGCCAUUAUGUUUAACAUACAAUGUGAAUUCUGAAAGACUCUUUUCAAAAUCGAGACCGAGAAAAUAAUCAUCUAUUCGACUAUACCAAGCUCUUGGUGCUUGUUUUAAGCCAUAAAGAGCUUUAUGUAGUCGAUAGACUUUAUCUUCCUUUCCAUCUAUAACAAAUCCUUCAGGUUGCUCAACAUAAAUUUCUUCUUCAAGAAUGCCAUUAAGAAAUGUUGAUUUGACAUCUAUUUGAUGCACUUUCCAGCCACGUUGUGCAGAAACAGUUAUAAGCAAUCUGAUUGUGUCGAGCCUAGCAACAGGAGCAAAAGUGUCAGAAUAAUCUACACCAAAAAUCUGUGCAUAACCCUUAACUACAAGCCUUGCUUUAUGCUUGUUGAUUGAACCAUCAGCAUUUAGCUUGGUUCGGAACACCCACUUUACCCCAAUUACUUUUCUGCCUUGAGGUUUGUCAACAAGUUGUCAUGUAUCAUUUUUUUCGAUCAUAAACAACUCCUCCUCCAUUGCAUUUCUCCAAUUGGGGUCUUUUAGAGCAUCUUUAGGGUUAGCAGGUUCACGAAUCGCAACAUUGCAUCUCUCAUAUAUAUCAGAGAGCAAUCGAGUUCCCCGAACUGGUGGAUCAUCGUCCCUUUCAUUUAACCACGAGCUUGUUUUUUGGAUGGAAUUCCUUGAGUCAUCCCAAUCCCAUUCUUCAUUCUCCAUGAAGUGGACAUCUCUGCUGAUAAUUAUCUUCUCACCUUCAGGUUGAAAGAUUUUGUACGCUUUUGAAACAUUACUGUAGCCAAUAAAAAUGCCCGGGGCAGCCUUCUUAUCUAGUUUAUCCCGUUUGACCUGAGGUACAUAGGUAAAACAAAGACAACCAAACACUUUAAGAAAAUGCAGUGGAGGCUUGUAUCCAUACCAUGCUUCAAAAGGAGUUUGAUCUUUCACAGCUUUUGAGGGAAGUCGAUUUUGUAGGAACAUAGUUGUACUUGCUGCCUCUGCCCAAAACAUCUUUGGCAAAUUCUUUUCGUGCAACAUACAUCUUGCCAUCUCCAUGAUAUAUCUGUUUCUUCUCUCACUAACUCCAUUUUGUUCUGGAGUAUAAGGAGCAGUAAGUUGACGUUCAAUCUCUGCUUCUUCACAAAAUAGAUCAAACUGAUGAGAAUUGUACUCCUUGCCAUUGUCAGAUCGUAAAAUCUGAAUUUUGCAGCAACUUUCAUUUUCCAACUUCGCUUUCAACUUCGAAAAAAUGAUCUUGACCUCCGAUUUAUACUUUAAAAAAUAAAUCCUGCAUCUUCAGGUCAGAUCAUUAAUAAAAAUAACAUAAUAAAGACUACCUUUAAGUGAAGGAGUCCUUUGGGGCCCUCCAAUAUCGGUGUGAACCAGCUGCAACUUUCUUGUUGCUCUCCAAGUUGCCUUUGGGAAUGGAAGUCUACUUUGUUUUCCAAAUUGACAAGCCCGACAAUUUUUAGAACUCGCUCCCAGUUUAGAAAGGUUCUCGACUAUCACCAAUUCUUGCAUUUUGAGAAGCCCUUGAUAAUGAUAGUGUCCGAGUCUCUUAUGCCAUAACUCGGAAGCAUUUUCUCUUGCCGAAUACACCACUUGUUCUUCCUCCAAUGGAUUUAAUGAGAAACUUCUGCCUCUCAUUUUGACUUUAAACAAGUCAUGUCCUGAGGCUUCCUUGAUCAAGCAAUGAUUAUUUUUGAAAUACAAUUUGAAACCUUUUUCUAACAAUUGACCAACACUUAACAAGUUCUGAUCUAAAUCUGGUACAUAAAGAACAUCGGAAAUUGCUUUAGUACCUGAUUGUGUUUCAAUUGUAAUAGUUCCCAUUCCUUUUACCGGAAUAGAACCGCCAUGACCUAUUCUGACUUUUGUAACUCCAGUAGGCUUCAAGUCUUUAAAGAUCUCUUUGUCAUGAGUCAUAUGGUUUGUGCAUCCGCUAUCAAUCAGCCAAGACUCAGUUGAAACAUUGCUUACAAAACACGAUGCCACAAAGAGUUGAUCCUCUUCCUGUUCAUUAACAACCUGGGCAUCUGCGUCUUGCUACUGUAAUUUACUCUUGCAAAUAAUUGCUUCAUGCCCGAGUUGGUUGGACUUACUGCAUUUAGCAUCAGGCCUUUUCCAACACUUAUACGGCGCAUGACCAUUCUUUCCACAAUGCUUACAAGGAGGAUAGUUUCCUUUAAAGCUACCUGUUUUGCUUUUGUUGUUGUAACGAGCUGCUCCUUCUCCAUUUUUUGGCUGGUUCUUCUUAUUGUUUUUCUUUUUGUAUCUUCCACUCUCUUCAUGUUUGGCCGCCAAUGCUCCCUCUCUNNNNNNNNNNNNNNNNNNNNNNNNNNNNNNNNNNNNNNNNNNNNNNNNNNNNNNNNNNNNNNNNNNNNNNNNNNNNNNNNNNNNNNNNNNNNNNNNNNNNNNNNNNNNNNNNNNNNNNNNNNNNNNNNNNNNNNNNNNNNNNNNNNNNNNNNNNNNNNNNNNNNNNNNNNNNNNNNNNNNNNNNNNNNNNNNNNNNNNNNNNNNNNNNNNNNNNNNNNNNNNNNNNNNNNNNNNNNNNNNNNNNNNNNNNNNNNNNNNNNNNNNNNNNNNNNNNNNNNNNNNNNNNNNNNNNNNNNNNNNNNNNNNNNNNNNNNNNNNNNNNNNNNNNNNNNNNNNNNNNNNNNNNNNNNNNNNNNNNNNNNNNNNNNNNNNNNNNNNNNNNNNNNNNNNNNNNNNNNNNNNNNNNNNNNNNNNNNNNNNNNNNNNNNNNNNNNNNNNNNNNNNNNNNNNNNNNNNNNNNNNNNNNNNNNNNNNNNNNNNNNNNNNNNNNNNNNNNNNNNNNNNNNNNNNNNNNNNNNNNNNNNNNNNNNNNNNNNNNNNNNNNNNNNNNNNNNNNNNNNNNNNNNNNCAAGGUAUGUGAGCUUUUAGUGUUGGGUGAUCCUUUCCCCCACACACCUAGCCCUUUUUUUUCUUAUCAAGAAAGGAUGGGCUUGUUGAUAAAGUUGUUAGUUGUUGUGGUUGNNNNNNNNNNNNNNNNNNNNNNNNNNNNNNNNNNNNNNNNNNNNNNNNNNNNNNNNNNNNNNNNNNNNNNNNNNNNNNNNNNNNNNNNNNNNNNNNNNNNUGGAUCCAUUAGGAAGUUCAGGUCCUAUACCUUUGGCUGGGUAUAACAUGCGCUGGCAGCGUGAGGUAGAUCGUUGUAUCAUCACUAUAGCUCUUAAGUGAUGGUUGUCGGUUAGAGAAACUCCCACAAAAGUUAUUGUAUUUUUAUAUGCACGGUUGAUUGUAUUUUUACAUACAUUUCAGAGUUAUGUUGUAUCCUUGCAUACACACAGAGUUGACAGCAUGUUUUUAAAUAGUUUGUUUCUUUAUAUUGCACUUGUUUUAAAUUGCUUUAUAUUCAAAUGAGUUCAGCCAUAUUGAGUUGAGUACCCAGAGUCGAAUAUCAUAUCUUUGAGUUGAGUAUCUAAUCUCUGAGUUGAGUAUCUUAUCCUUGGGUACUUCUGAGUUGAGUAAUUUGAGUAGUUUUGAGUAUCCUUGAGUAUUCCUUGAUUUGAGUAAGUUUCAGAAGAGAUAAGUAUGCUUCCUUUUUAUCAAGUUUCAAGCUUAUGUUAUGCUUUAGAAUUCCCCUUACAUGCUCGUACAUUCCACGUACUGAGUCAUUUGACCUGCACUUUCUCAUGAUGCAGACACAAGUAUUCAGGAUCAUCAACAGGAGCUUCGUUGAUACAUCCGAGAGUUCGAGGUAGCUAUGGUGAGCCUCCUAGUUUCCGAAGGAUUUCAUUUACUUUUAAGUUUAGUCAGGAUGUCGUGGGUCUUGUCCCGACUUCCAUCUUUAUCAAUUAGAGGUUUUCAUAGAUAGUCAGUAUAGUUGAGAAGUCUGUAUCAUUUAUUUUAUUAAAUGUUUUAAAGACUUAAGUUGCCUAUUUUAUGGCGAGUUGAAUAAUUUAUUUUAUUAUUCAGAGUUUUCAUUUGAGUUAAAGUUGUAAUUUAAGUUUUAUGUAACUUUUGUUUCUAGUUUUAAGCUUUGUAUGCUUGAAUCUAGUUUUCCGCUUGUAGUCAGCCGAGGAUGGAGGGUUCGCUUGGGGACCAGCAAUGGUCUUCGAGUGCCGGCCACGUCCAGGGUGUAGGCUCGGGUCGUGACAAAAUAAAUGGUCUCAAGUCUUUAAUUUUACAAGAUACAUCAUCUGCAUAUUCUAUUCACUGUUUUGCUCACCAAUUGCAAUUGGCACUUCUAGGUCUUUCCAAAAAGAAUUAGGAUGUGGAUAAUUUUUUUUAUGUUCUCACUAAUAUUUUGAAUACUAUUGAAGCUUCAUUUAAACGCAGAGAUUCACUUCGACAACAUCAAGAAGAUAAGUUGGAAAAGUUGCUUAAAUUUGGAGAAGUUCAUACAGGGUAAGGUUUGAAUCAAGAACGUGGCCUCCAACGACCGGGUGAUACUCGUUGGGGGUCUCAUUUUAAAACCUUGGACAAUUUCCUAAUUUUUUUUUCUUCAAUUGUUAAUGUGCUUAAGAAUAUGAAACGUGAUUGUCCAUAUCAUCUUGAUAGAUUUGCGGCGGAAAAUCUUUUGAGCAAGAUUCAUGAAUUUGAAUUUGUCUUUAUGUUGCACUUGAUGUUUAAGGUGUUGCUAUUGACGAAUGAGUUGAAUAAAGUUUUACAAAAGAAAGAUCAAAUAUCGUAAUGCUGUGGGAUUGCUUGGCCUUUCAAAGAAACGAUUGCAAAUGAUGAGAGAGGAUGAAUGGGACUCUAUGAUGGAUGAGGUUAGCUUAUUUUGUGGUAAACAUGGAAUUUCAAUUCCCAAAAUGAAUGAAGACUACUCUAAUGGGAAGUCGAAGCGUAAGAGGUCCAAUAUUUCAUAUUUGCAUCACUUUCGUGUGGAAGUAUUUUAUGCCGUCAUUGAUUUGGCACUUCAAGAACUCAAUAAUCGUUUUGAUGUGGUGACUAGUGACUUGCUCCUCGGUAUGGCUAGUUUGAGUCCGGUUGAUUCAUUUGCUAAUUUUCACAAGGAUAGGAUAAUGAAACUAGCCGAGUACUACCCAAGUGAGUUUGGUGAUAAAGAGCUUCGGGAACUCAAUUUUCAACUUGAUGAUUUUAUUGUCUAUGCUCAAAAGUGUGAUAGCAAGUUUCUCAACUUGAAGGGAAUCAAGGAUCUUGCAAAAGUGAUGAUAGAGACAAAACUAGAUCAAACUUGGUCACUUGUGUAUCUACUUGUGAAGCUAACUUUGAUUAUUCCUGUUGCUACCGCAAGCGUGGAAAGAGCAUUCUCAUCAAUGAAGUACAUAAAGAAUGAUUUGCGUAAUAGGAUGGAUGAAGAUCUUUUGAAUGGUUGUUUAGUUUGCUAUAUAGAGCGUAGUAUAUUUAAAAAUGUAAGUAAUUAUGCCAUUAUUGACCGUUUUCAAAAUAUGAAAACUCGUCGAGGACAAUUGUAAGUGAAUGAUGUUUUUUGCUAAUAUAUUACUAUAUAAAGAUUGCUACUACCUACUUGCUCGUCAACUUGUUCUCACCGUAAAAUUUAUAUAAUUGAAUUAAUUGUCUAUUUUGAAGAUAAUGGUGCCCCCAUGUUCUUGAGAUCCUGGAUACGCCUCUGGAGAGUACGUAAUAAAACAACUUGCACUUCGGGUGAUAGUGAAGAAAAUUAUAUACAUUCCCUUUAUUAAAUAAAAUACUUUGAUUUAUUUCUCAUCUUAAACCUAUUAAUUUUCACAAAUAUGAUUACUUAAAAUAAUUAUCAGCCAUAUAUUAUUGAGAAGUUAAUGUUUUUGACGAUUAACACUAGAAAGAAUUUGUAAAAUGUGAGCUAUAUAUCAAUUCCCUACUUGCACUUGCUAUAACAGGUAGUAAUUUAUAUUAGAGGGGUGAAAAAAUCUAAUCGAUCGAUAAACUAAAAUGAAAAAAGUGCUAUUGAUUUAUUGUUAUUGGGUUAUUGGGUCAACGAGGUUUUAAUGGUUUUAUAGAAAGAAAAAAAAUAUUGGGUUACCGGUUCGAUUUUAAUUUUUAAUAUUGGGUUAUUGGGUAUAACGAUAACCCAAUAAGACUAUAAUAAUUUACUAUUUUACUCAUACAUAAACAUUAAAUAUUAAUCGCAAUACCUUACUAGUUAGUGCAUUUGUCCUUUCACCUUCACAUCACACUUCACAGUGAUCACUUUAAGUUCAAAAAUUCACAUUAUACAAAACGUCAAAAUAUAAAGUAAGAAGCAUAUUCCUCUUAGUUUUUUUUUGUGUUACACUUGUAUAAUUCUUUUCAUGUUAGUUAUUAUUGUUUCUAUUUUAUGAGUAUUUGUAAAGUUACGGUAUUAUCUUGCCGCGUUAAAUUGUUUGAGAAGUCAUAUAUUUGUUUUAUAAGUAUUUUCUUAUUGGUUAAAUCAAAUAUCGAACCGCUAAGGACCCAAAACCAAUAAAAAAAUAUUUAAUUGAUUUGGUUAUUGAUUAAACGAAUUUAUAAACCGAUAAAUCAAACCAAUAAAAUACGACCCUAAUUUAUAUUUGCGAGUAUUGAUUAUUGAAGAAGAGAAGAAACGAAAGCUACUGCUAAUUCCAAAGGUAAAUAUACAUAAGUGAUAAGACAAUAAAUAAAUAUGUUUUACAAAUCACAAGCCACAAAUACAUCAAGCAAUCAAACAUUUAUUUAUUUAUUUAUUACAAUUACAAUUUACAAUCAAUCAUUCUGAAAUGCAUCUGCAAUUCAUUAGACAUAAAAUAUUUAGUUGAUUCAUUAAAUAAAAUUGUAAUUAACGUAGCAAACUAACCUAUUGACGCAUUGUGAAUUUCAUAUUCUCAGCUUUGCAAGACGUUCAGAGAGACUAAUUGGAGAACCGCUGCCUUGUACAAGUAACAACUUUUUCAAUUUAGGCAUACUGACAUCAUCCCUACACAUUACUUCAGACAACCCAUCUGGUUCAUUAAUAUGCAGAAAUUCAAGUUGCGGAAAGCUAUCACCACCAGAGAGAUCCAUUUUUUCUUCCAUAUGACUGCACCAAUCCAUUUUAAGUAUCCUUAAUUUGGGUAAUUUCUUAAGCACUGCCACUACAUGACCGUCUACCUUAUAGCGGACAAGAGUAAGCUUGACAAGAUUUGGAGGGAAUGCUUCAGAGUUCAAGCGCAUUGUUCCGCAAACAUUGAUCAAACACAACUUAACAAUAUUUGGAUAGGACGACAAGUUUAUUUGCUCACUCAUGUGCCUGGAAACACUGAGCUUCAGAACUUCCAGCGCCGUUGGCACAGGGCUCAAUGCUGAUAAUAUCUUAACUGUAGAAUCAGAUACUCCUAUUAUACCCAGUUUUCUUAAAUUCAUCAAUCGGUGCAACAAUGUCGCCUCAAAAAAUUUAUCAUCCAGCCACAUCAAAGUUUGUACAUUAUUAUGAGCCAAUGAGUACAAGUUUGGAAAAAUUGGGCUUAUAGAAAAGCAACUGUUAGAUGCUUGAUUAGAACCUCCAUAACAAAGAUGUUUCAAUUGUGUAGACUUCCAAACACCAGCAGGAAAUUUAAUUAAGCUAUAACCAAUAUCGAGGGUCUCUAGACGUUUGAGCUUCAGCAUACAAUUUGGCAGUUUCCCAUAAAUAUGCCCCUGGAAUCGCAGAUAACGUAAGCAACUCAUGUUCCCAAAUGUGUUUGGGAUACUGACAUCACAAAUAUCAUCAACAAAGAUGACUACAACCAACACUUGCAAUAAUUUGAAAUCAAGAUGAGCCAGUUGAGAAAAUAUGCAAGGGUCUUCUGUAAAACAGAAAAGUGCACGAAGCUUCUCAAGCUUAGUAUUUGAACGGAAGAACUCAUUCAUGACAUUAUUAUCAGAGUAGAAUGUAAUCCUUCGCACCCUAGCAACAUUGCCGGGAUCACCAAAUGCAUUGUGCUCGGUGUGAAAGAAGUUGCUUUCCUUAGCCAAGUCAACACAUAAACUAUGUAACAAGUCAUGUAUGCGACAACUUGAAAUUCUUCCAUCAUAUGUCCUUUUGGCAACUUGAAUCAUGUUUCUUGAAACCAAAUCAUUUAGGACAUCAUCCGCCACACUUUCAGCCUCUCGCCCAUUGCCACUAUUUACAACUAUCAACUUCUCAGCAAUCCACAUAUUUGUCAAAUCAAAAGCACGAAUUUCAUGAUCCUCGGGGUAAAGGCCAAAAUACAAGAAACAUGGCCUUAAUGCAAUUGGCAAAUCAUUGUAACUCAGAGCCAAUACCUUAGCACAUCCAUCUUGAACUUUAUGGCUCAUACUCUCAAGUACUCUGUUCCAUGCACGUUCUGUUCUUUCUCUUGCCCUUAACAUGCCUGCGGUCACCUCAAUGGCUAGAGGUAUACCUCCACAUCUCCCAACUAUAUUUCUACCAAUAUCUACCAACUCUGGUGAAGCAUUGGCCCAAUUAUUAUUGUUAUCAAAAAUAAAGAUUUUCUUGGUAAAGAGUUCAAAACUGUUCUCCGAAUUUAGAGGUUGCAACACGUGAAUUGAGAAAUCCCCUCCUAUAUAUCUGACUACAUUACUAUUUCGAGAGGUUAUAAUUAUCCUACUGCCAAUUUUUGAAUCACAUUCAGGAAAGACAAGUUUUAGAUCAUCCCAAAUUUCAACAUCCCAAAUGUCAUCUAAGAGGAUAACAUACCUUUUUAUUUUCAAGAGUGACCGUAGGUUGUUCUCCAAGUUUUCUUUCCUUUCAUCUUCCGUCAGUCCAACUUGUUUGGCUAUGUCCUGUAAGAUUUCUCCCGCCCUUGGCUGUUGUGAAACGUAGACCAGUCCCCGAACACUCAAAUUGAUGACGGACAUGCCUAUAAAGUUUCUUGGCAAGAGUUGUUUUUCCCAAUCCGGGCAUGCCAACUAUUGAAACAACUCCAUAAGGCAAAUCUUGAUCAAGUAAUUUGGCUUGUAGCAUUUUGAAGUCAUCAUCCAAACCGAUGACCUCUGUUCAUCAGCAUGAAGGAAUAAUCUUCUCUUGGUCCAAUGGAAUGCAAUCAUCAUUAUUGUUGUUACUUGUAUCCAUGAUGUUGUAAGUUGUCCUUACACGGUCAAUAUCAGCAACUCUCUUUUUAUCUUCUCAAUCUCCAUAGCAAACUCAUCGGCAAAAGAAACCGUCUUAAGGCAACAAAUGAACUUAUUGGAUUGUUGAAUUUUUGGAAGAAACUCAUCUAAUAGAUCCUCCACAUCACCUGCCAGUUGUUGAAUAUCUUUUAAUAAGUUUUUGACCCUUGAAUCGCCUCCAACUUCCUUGGCCUUUGCAUCGUCUACAUAUGAUCGAAUGUGUCUCAUUUCUCUCUGGAGCCAAUCGAUGUCUUCUUUCAACCAAUAUAAACGCGUUCCUUGUUGAAAGAGUAGAUUUCCAGCUAUUUCUACAGAUUUAUUGAUGACUGCUGUAAGAAGAAUUUCAGCCAUUUCUUUUUCAGUAGCUACAAAAAACUGAUCAGAAUGAUUAAUUAGGAAAAGUAAGAAAAAGAAGAUCAGCUUAUACUAUAUAUUUGCUUUUGCUUUUUAGUGAUAGCUGGAGUCCAUGGCAAAGUCUCCUAAUAAUGUCAAGUAAAGGUGGGGCAGCUGCACACGAAUCAAAAAGGAGAAAUACAUUAUACUCUCAUCUUAUUAUAACAAUCAUUUUCGGUAACAAUAUAUUUUUUUUCUUUUUUUUAAAGAACUAUUGUUAUAUUAUAAGUGGUUUUUUUUAUAUAUACAUUAUACUAUAAACAUUUCAGGACAAACGACUUCCUUUAUAAAGGUUUGAUUGUAUGAGUACGUAGCAAAAAAAAUUUGAAAGCAUCAAAUCGCAUAAAAACCUAAAAAUUCAUGGAACAUACAAAUUGAGUCUUAUAAUAGCCCAAAUUGGGUAAAGUUUUGCAAGGGACGGACGGAAUAAUUUAUUUUCACUAUUCUACUGGCAUCUUAUCUACUGCAUGUGCGUCCUACUGUGGACUCCAACAAUAAAGCAAAUAGUUGAUCACUUCAGACUUAUUCCAUCAACUAUUUGAAUACAGUGAUAUUUCAAAAAGAAAAUAGUAAAUAAUUGAGAGAAGUAUUGAAAACGUACCCCUCUAAAUUUGGUGUCAAUUAUUAGUUUUAUCUUUGAACUAUUGACAAUUUUAAAAACAUAUUUUUACUUGACUAACUGAACUUACAAGUUACAUAUAGCCCAAUCUUGCAAUAUGAGUGAAAUACACCCUUAAAUUUUCGUCAAGUUUAGGAGUAUUUUAAUUUCAACACUUAUCUCGAUUUUUUAUUAAGAGUAUUAUGCUUCUAUAAGAGUUUGAGACCACUUGUCAUGUAACUGAUCGGGGCGUUCGGCGGUUUCGUUGCGCUGUAGUGGAUUUGAGUUAUAAAUCUUUAAGUAAAAGUAGCUAUACAUUAUGUAUCGAUCUACUAUUCAUUGUAAUUAAUUAGACAUGAACUAAGUAACAAACAAAAAUUAGUUUAUCGAGGAUAUUAAACGUAAAUAAUUAUAGUGGCCACUAACCUGUAGACACAUUGAUAUUAAACGUAAAUAUUCAAUGAAUUUUUAACAUAAAUAUAUGAUUUUAGCUAAUAUUAUUAAAUUUUAUUGAACACAUAGCUAGAAUUCUAACUUUGAUUGUGUGAGAUUUUUAGUUUUUGCAGAAUUUUUUAGCAAACAAAAGUCAUUAUUAGGAAGGCCAGCUCCUUAUGAUACCUUGUAAGAUGGAUUUUUUAAACUUUUAUGUUGAAAUCUUUUAUAGUUUGGGGAUGAAAUGUGUAGAAAUUUUAUUCUUUAAAGAUGUAUACCUUGUGUUUGACAUAAAUAAAACCAAAACACACAUAAACAAAAAAUUGAUUAAAGUAUACUUGUAUUUUUAUUUUUAUUUCAAAUUAUUGAAUGUUGGAGUUAUAAUCAGGAGUCUGGUCAUGACCAAUUCUACACCUUAAAAUGAAAUGUAAAUAUAGUCCUACAAAUUAUAAACUCAACAAAUAUUGGGGUCGAUUCCAUGAAGAGUGUGUGCAUGUGUCAAUGUGUCCAAAAGUGUGUAUUUGUGAAUUUCCUAAAUUUUGUGUGCGUGUGUAAUUAAACAAUUUAUUUACUACUAGUUCUAACUAUUCCCUCCAUUUCAUAUUAAUUUAAUUUUUAAGGUAUUUUUUAUUUUUUAAAUUAAUUUAAUUGUUCAGUUUUCAAAACUACUUUUAGAGUGUUCUUCCAAUUUUACCCUUCAUUAGUUAGUAUUGGAAUUAGCGAUUAAUUAAUAUUUAGUUAUUUUAAUCAUAAAUUUGAUAAUAAUUAAUAAGGGUAAAAAUAGAAAACUAUAUUCAAUUUAUGUCUUAAUCUACUUUUUUUAAAGGGUGUAAAACACCUCAAAAUUAAAUUAAUAUGAAAUGGAGGGAGUAUUUUGUAAUAAUCAAAUAUAAAUUAAAGCAAAAAAGAAAAAGAAAAAUAGUAGGUGUACCUGAUAGGUUGGAAUUUGGCUGAUGCAGUUCCUUGAUUGGAGUAAAUAUUAAUUAUAAGUGUUUUUUUUUUCAAAAGAUGGAAAUUGACAAAUUAACCAAGCACCUCAAUUCUAUUUAUAAGUAUCUUUUAAAAAAAUAUAUAUAUUAGUUCAAUACUUGAAUUGAAUGUGAGGGUAAGAUGGGUCAUAAUUUCCAAAUUAUUCUUUACUUGAAACAAUAUAUAGGCAUCUUACCUUUUUUCUCAUGAAAAAGCAAAAGGAAAGUAUAAUGUUGGAGAAUUAAAAAAAUAAUAAUCAUGUUUUCACUUUUGUCUGGAUGUAAAUGUUACAAAAGAAAUAAAUGAAUAUUUCAAACGGAAGUAUUUUUCGUGAAGAACUCUUUUUUUUCCACUUUAGUUGUAACUAUUCAUUCUAUAGUUCUAUUCCAUAUUAGUUGAUCAUUUUAUUAAAAAAUAUAAUUGUCCAUUUUUAUAAAUUAAGAAAGCAUUAAUUAAUUUUUUUCCUAUAUUAUUCAUGCAAUUAAUUCUUUUUUUAAAUGUUCAUAUUUGUUUGUUAAAUUUCCAAUAAAAAAUUUCAGAGAUGAAUCAAUAAACUGAACUUCUUAUUUAUGAUUUCUUGAUAUGCUUGUAAAAAGGAAAAUGAUCAACUGAGAUCGGGAGAGUAAUAAAAUAACUUGCAAUUCGCGUGAUAGUGAAGAAAAUUAUAUACAUUCCCUUUAUUAAAGAAAAUACUUUAAAAAGGAAAAGUAAUACUUUCAAUUAUUUUACAAAUAUAUUUUAUUAAAUAAUCUAUAAUAUACAAAAUAAAUAUUAUGAUUUUUAAUUGAGAAAGGUAACGAUCACCAAUAAUGAAGAAAAAAAGUACUACAAUUACUACUUGAGAAAUAUCAUUACACUAAUAAUAAAAAUAUGAUUUAAAGUAAAAAAGUUUCAAAAAAUAAUAAUAAUAUCUGAAGCCUACACGUGAAGUGAGGAAUCUCCUCCUAUGUAUCUGCCUACAUUACUAUUUCGAGAUGUGAUUAUUAUCCUACUGCCAAUUUUUGAGUCAGGAAGGAAAAAAUUCAGAUAAUUCCAAAUUUCAACAUCCCAAAUGUCAUCUAAGAGGAUAACACACCUUUUUCUUUGCAAGAGUGAGCUUAGGUUGCCUUCCAAGUUCUCUUUCCUUUCCUGUUCCGUCAGUCCAACUUGUUUGGCAAUGUCCUGUAAGAUUUCUCCUGCCCUUGCCUGCUGUGAAACAUAGACCAAUCCUGAACAUUCAAAUUGAUGACGGACAUGCCUAUAAAGUUUCUUGGCAAGAGUUGUUUUUCCUAAACCGGGCAUGCCAACUAUUGAAACAACUCCAUAAGGCAAAUCAUGAUCAAGUAAUUUGGCUUGUAGCUUAUUGAAGUCAUCAUCCAAACUGAUGACCUCUAUUUCAUCAGCAUGAAGGAAUAAUCUUCUCUGGUCCAACGGAAUGCAAUCAUUAUUGUUGUUACUUGUAUCCAUGAUGCAUGUUAUAAGUUGUCCUUACACGAUCAAUACCCGCAACCCUUCGGCAAAAGAAACUGUCUUAAAGCAACAAAUGAACUUAUUGGAUUGUUGAAUUUUUGGAAGGAACUCAUCAAAGAGAUCCUCCACAUCACUUGCGAGUUGUUGAAUAUCUUUUAAUAAAUUUUUGACCCUUGAAUCGCCUCCAACUUCCUUGGCCUUUGCAUCGUCCACAUAUGAUUGAAUGUGUCUCAUUUCUCUCUGGAGCCAAUCGAUGUCCUCUUUCAACCAAUAUAAACGCGUUCCUUCUUGCACGAGUAGAUUUCCAGCUAUUUCUACAGAUUUAUUGAUGACUGCUGUGAGAAGAAUUUCAGCCAUUUUUUGUCUUUCUUUUUCAGUAUCAACAAAAAACUGAGUAUGAGUAAUUAGGAAAAGUAGGAAAAAAAGACGAUCAGUAUACUGUUUGCUUUUGCAUUUUAGUGAUAGCUGGAGUCCUAAUAAUGCCAAGUAAAUGAUAAACAAAAGAAACAAGAAAGGUGGGGCAGCUGCACACUAAUGGAAAAGGAGAAAUACAUUAUACUCUCAUCUUACUAUUAUACUCUAACAAUCAUUCUUGAUAACAAUAUAAUUUUUUCCUUUUUAAAAAAACUAAUGUAAUAUUAUAGUGUAUUAUAAGUGUUUUUUUUUAAAUAUCGUGUAAUUGAUUAGUUAUACUAAGAUGUUUACUUAGUUAUGUAGUUUUUUCGGAAAAAAAAAGUAUAUUAUCAAUCGGCCACAAAAAAUAAAAAAACUUAAAUUGGGACGGGCGGAAUAAUUUCUUUUCACUAUUCUACUGACAUCUUAUCCACUGCAUGUGUUGUCCUUAUUGUGGACUCCAACAAUAAAGCAAAUAGUUUAUCACUUUAGACUUAUUCCAUCAACUAUUUGAAAUUUCAAUUCACAAUUUUUGAAUAAAGUGAUAUUUCAAAAAGAUAAUAAAUAAUUGAGAGAACUAUUGAAAACGUACCCCUCUAAAUUUGGUGUCAAUUAUUAGUUUCAUUUUUGAACUAUUGACAAUCUUAAAAACAUUAUUUUACUUGACUAAUUGAACUUACAUACACACCGAUCUUACAACGUGAGUGAAAUACACCCUUAAAUUUUCGUCAAGUUUAGGAGUAUUUUAAUUUCAACACUUAUCUCGACUUUUUAUUAAGAGCAUUAUGUUUCUAUAAGAGUUUGAGACCACUUGCUAUGUCAUGUGACUGAUCGGGGUGUUCAGCGGUUUAGUUAGUCAAGUAGAGGGAUGGUUUUUAGACUGUCAAUAAUUUGUAGAUGAAACUAAUAAUAUUUUUUUCGAAUUUAUACCACUAAACAAAGAGUCUAGCCAUUUUUCUAAUAAUGUGCACUAAGUUUAAGGUGUUUUUCUAUACUUCUCUCUAAAUAAUUUUCAUAAUCAAACAUGAUGUUAAAAUAACUUUCUCAAUCUUGACAAUUGCUUAUUUACAAACUAUUAUGAAUUCGCCACUAUGGUAGACACACUGCUACCAAAACAAGAGGAUGCAUGUUGUACAUUAAUUCCAAAAACACCCUCUUCAAAAAGCAAGGUACAACACCUCUAAGCAGUAAAAUUACUCUCGAGUCCCUUACUAUUUGGAGCUAUUAAGCACAUAUAUAUUUUUUUUCACUCUGAAAAAGUCGAAAUAUAUACCCUUUGUCCUUGUGAUUAGCUUCAUAAUGUUUCAGAUAAAUAUAGAAGCUAUAUUUAUUGUGUCGCGUAAUUUAUUACUCCCUCCAUCUCAAUUUAUGUGAGAUAGUUUGAUUUGGUACGAAGUUUAAGAAAGAAAUGAAGACUUUUAAAAUUUGUGGUUCAAAAUGAAUUAUAUAAAUUUGUGUGGCUGUAAAUCAUUUCAUUAACGGUAAAGUAGACAUUUCAUAGUUAAAUUGUUACUUACUCCCUCCGUCCCAUUUUAUGUGGCAACAUUUUGACCCCGGCACGGGAGUUUAAGAAAUAAAUGAAGACUUUGAAAUAUUUACCAAAUUGCCCUUUAAAAAGUAGACUCACUUUUCUCUCUCCUCAUAAAUGUAUUGGAGUAUUAUUUUAAGAUUAAGUGAGACCAACAAGGGUAAAAGAGGAGUUGUACCUUUAAAUACUUACCAUAUAAGGAAAUGUGACAUUCUUUUUGGGACUGACCAAAAAGGAAAUGGUGCCACAUAAAAUGGGACGGAGGGAGUAAUAUAAAAAUGUGUCAUUCUCUUUUGGACAGAUCAAAAAGGAAAGUAAGUCACAUAAAUUGAUAUGGAGGGAGUAUUUAUCCAUCCAUUAUUCUCAUAAAAAUAUAAUUUGUUUAAUAUUACUAAAUCAAAAAUAACUUUUAACGGCAAUAUAUAUAUAUACAACAUUAUCAUCUUAGAGCUAUUAGCAAAGAUCGUAGGAAAUAUGUGUUCAAUGUCAGCAAGACCUCUAUUAAUUAAACACAUUUGGAGAGAGAUGAACCAAUGUGCCGAUUUUCUGGCAAACGAAGAGCACAAGCAUAAUGAAAAUUUGAUAGUAGCCACUAACCUGUAGACACAUUGAUAUUAAACGUAAAUAUUCAAUGAAUUUUGAACAUAAAUAUUUGAUUUUAGCUAAAAUUAUUAAAUUUUAUUGAACACGUAGCUAGAAUUCUAACUUUGAUUGUGUGAGAUUUUUAGUUUUUGCAGAAUUUUUUAGCAAACAAAAGUGUCAUUAUAAGGAAGGCCAGCUGCUUAUGAUACCUUGUAAGAUGAAUUUUAAAAAAAAUUAUGUGGAAAUCUUUUAUAGUUUGGGGAUGAAAUGUGUAGAAAUUUUAAUUCUUUUAAAGAUGUAUACCUUGUGUUUGACAUAAAUAAAACCAAAACACAUAAAUAAAAAUUUGAUUAAAGUAUACUUGUAUUUUAUUUUUUUCAAAUUAUUGAAUGCUGGAGUUAUACUCUGGAGUUUGGUCAUGACCAAUUCUACACCUUAAAAUGAAAUGUAAAUACAGUCGUACCAAUUAUAAACCCAACAAAUAUUGGGGUCGAUUCCAUGAAGAGCGUGUGCAUGUGUCAAGGUGUCCAAAAGUGUGUAUUUGUAAAUUUUCUAACCUUGGACUUUUAUUGAUCCACACAGAAAAAAAAAAAACCCAAAACCCAAGAAUUGGGUCAAUAGUUUUUAAUGGUUUUAUAAAAAAAUUAUUGGAUUAUCGGUUCGGUUUUGACCUUUUAUAAUGGGUUAUUGGGUAUACUGAUAACCCAAUAAGAUUAUAGUAAUAUAGUACUUUACGCUUACAUAAAUAUUAAAUAUUAAUCUCAAUACCUUACUAGUUAGUACAUUUGUCCUAUAGCCUUAGCUUCAAACUUCAUAGUGACUUUGAGUUCAAAACUUCACAUUAUACAAAACGUCAAAAUAUAAAGUAAGAACAUUAUUCCUAUUAAUUUCUCUUUGUGUUACACUUGUAUAGUUCUCUCAAUGUUAAUUAUUAUUAUUUCUAUUUUAUGAGCAUUUGUUAGAGAAGUCAUAUAUUUAUUUUAUAAGCAUUUUCUUAUUGGUUAAACCAAUUGAUAGAUAAACCAUAACCAAAAACCGAUAAAAUGAAAUGACAAUACAUAAAAUUGACCCGAAUCGAUCGAUGCAAAGCCAUAACUUAUAUUGUAAACUUUGAUUCUUGAAGAAGAAAAUAAACUAAAGCUACUAAUUCCAAAGUAAAUAUACAUAAGACAAUAAAUAAAUCUUUUAUAAAUCACAAGCCACAAAUACGUCAACUUCAUGAAGCAAUCAAACAUUUAAUUUAUUUAUUUCAAAUACAAACAGGCAUCAGAAGAUGCUCUCCAGCAAAGACUUAAUCAUUCUCAAAUGCAUCUGCAAUUUAUUAGACAUAAAAUAUUAAGUUGAUGAAUUAAUUAAUAAAAAAUGAGCUUAUUCAGAGAUAUUAAAAGUAAAUAAUUAACCUGUUGACACAUUGGGAUUUUCAUACUCUCAGCUUUGCAAGACGUUCCGAGAGCCUAACGUCGGAAGUGGUAUCUAUACGUAAAAAUAGCUUUUUCAAUUUAGGCAUAAUCAUAUCAUCCCUGCAACUUACUUCAGACAACCCACAUGCAUACUCAAUAUGCAAAACUUCAAGUUGCGGAAAGCUAUCACCAUCACCACAGAGAUCCAUCUUUUCUUCAUUAUGUUUGCACCAAAGCAUUUUAAGUAUCCUUAAUUUGGGCAAUUUCUUAAGCACUGCCACUACAUGACCGUCUACCUCCAAGUUGUGAAGAGUAAGCUUGACAACAUUUGGAGGGAAUGCUUCACAGUUCAAGCGCAUUGUUCUGCAAAUUCUCAAAUGCAACUUAACAAUAUUUGGAUAGGACGACAAGUUUAUUUUCUCACUCAUCAUGUACCUCAAAAAUCUGAGCUUCAAAACCUCCAGCGCCUUUGGCACAGGGCUCAAUGUUGAUAAUAUCUUAACCGUAGAACCAUAUGAGCACUCUAUACCCAGUUUUCUUAUAUUGAUCAAUCGGUGCAACAAUCUCGGUUCAAAAAAAUUAUAAUCAUCCAUCCACAUCAAAGUUUGUAGAUUAUUAGGAGGCAAUGAUGAGUACACAUUUGGAAAAAAUGGGAUUAUAGAAAAGCAAUACAUACAUACUUUAUCGAAAGAUUUAUAACGAAGAUGUCUCAAUUGUGUAGACUUCAAAACACCAGUAGGAAGAUCAAUGAAGCUUUUACCAAUAUCUAGGGUCUCUAGAUGUUUGAGCUUCAACAUACAAUUCGGCAGUUUCCCAUAAAUAUCCCCCUCCAAUCGAAGAUAGCGUAAGCAACUCAUGUUUCCAAACGUGUUUGGGACACCACAACAAUCAUAAUAGGACAUGACUACAACCAACACUUGCAAUAAUUUGAAAUCAAGAUGAGCCAGUUGAGAAAAUAUGCAAGGGUCUGUUGUGAAACAGAAAAGUGCACGAAGCUUCUUAGGCUUAGGAUUUGAACGAAAGAACUCAUUCAUGGCAUUAUUAUCCGAGUAGAAUGUAAUUCUUCGCACCCUAGCAACAUUGCCGGGAUCACCAAAUGCAUUGUGCUCGGUGUGAAAGAAGCUACUUUCCUUAGCCAAGUCCACACACAAACUAUGUAACAAGUCAUGUAUGCGACAACUUGAAAUUCUUCCAUCAUAUGUCCUUUUGGCAACUUGAAUCAAGUUUCUAGAAACCAAAUCAUUUAGAAUAUCCUCAGCCAAACUUUCAGCCUCUCGCCCAUUGCCACUAUUUACAACUAUCAGCUUCUCAGCAAUCCACAUAUUUGUCAAAUCAAAAACACGAAUUUCAUGGUCCUCGGGGAAAAGGCCAAAGUACAAGAAACAUGGCCUUAAUGCAAUGGGCAAAUCAUUGUAACUCAGAGCCAAUACCUUAGCACAUCCAUCUUGAACUUUAUGGCUCAUACUCUCAAGUAACCUGUUCCAUGCAUGUUCCGUUCUUUCUCUUGCCCUUAGCAUGCCUGCAGUCACCACAAUGGCUAGUGGUAUACCUCCACAUCUACCAACUAUACUUCUACCAAUAUUUACCAAGUCAGGUGAAGCAUUAGCCCAAUUAUUAUUAUCAAAAUUAAAGAUUUUCUUGCUAAAGAGUUCAAAACUGUUAUCUGAAUCUAGGGGUUGCAACACACAGAGUGAGGAAUGUCCUCCUAUGUAUCUUCCUACGUUACUAUUUCGAGAUGUGAUAAUUAUCCUACUGCCAAUUUUUGAAUCAUAUUCAGGAAGAACAAGUUUUAGAUAAUUCCAAAUUUCAACAUCCCAAAUAUCAUCUAAGAGGAUAACAUACCUUUUUCUUUUCAAGAGUGAUCGUAGGUUGUUCUCCAAGUUUUCUUUCCUUUCCUCUUCCGUCAGUCCAACUUGUUUGGCUAUGUCAUGUAAGAUUCCUCCCACCCUUGGCUGUUGUGAAACAUAGACCAGUCCAGAACACUCAAAUUGAUCACGAACAUGCCUAUAGAGUUUCUUGGCAAGAGUUGUUUUUCCUAGACCGGGCAUGCCAACUAUUGAAACAACUCCAUAAGGCAAAUCAUGAUCAAGUAAUUUGGCUUGUAGCUUAUUGAAGUCAUCAUCCAAACCGAUGACCUCUGUUUCAUCAGCAUGAAGGAAUAAUCCUCUCUGGUCCAAUGGAAUGUAGUCAUGCUGAUUGUUGUUGUUACUUGUAUCAGUGAUACCAUAAGUUGUUCUCAAGCGAUCAAUCUCAGCAACUCUUCUUUUUAUUUUUUCAAUCUCUGCGACAAACUUGUUGGCAGAAGAAACAUUACAAACGCGACAACCAAUUGUUCCUUUGCGUUCAAUUUUGGGAAGGAAUUCAUCUAAGAUGUCAUCUGCAUCAUCCGCAAGUUGUUCAAUAUACUUUAUCAAGUUUUUGACCCUUGAAUCUCCUUGAGUUAAUUUGGCCCUUGCAUCAAUAAUGUAAGACUGAAUUUGCACCAUUUCUGUUUUGAGCCAAUUCAUGCUCUCUUCUAAUGAAUUCAAGUUUGACCAUUUUUCAAGGAGUAGAUUUCCAGCUGCUUCUGUUGCUUUGGUGAUAACUGCAGAAAGAACAAUUUCUCCCAUCUUUUGUUUUUUUCUUUUCUAUCUGUUUCAAUAAAAAGGAAGAAUUCCAAUUUUCGAGACUCAAAAACUGCAUAUUUUUACUAUAACAGUUUUGAAGAAAAACAAUUUGUGUUCUAUCAUUCAUUUGAGAAUUGCUUUUUUCAAUAAUUAAUAAGUAGAUUGUGUUUGACCAAACUUUCAGAAAAGUCUAGCUUGUUCUAGAUUGGUUUUUAAAAAUAUUUGGUUUAUUUUAUUUAGUACAAAAUAUUAUAUACAUAUUUUUUUUUUAUAAUUAUAUAUAACAUAAUAUGUUGUUUUAUGAAUAAGUUUAAAUAUCUAUAUGUUUUCAUUAGAAUUUAUUCAGAAGAGGGUAAAUUUUUUUAUCUUUUAAAUAAUAUAUAUUUCUUUACUUAAUGGGUAAUGUCAUUUUCCUAAUAAUAAUAUUAUUUCUUUACUUUAUCAACACAUUCUACUCCUCAUAAAAAUAUUACUUUUAAAGAACCAUAUUCUUGCUUUUUUUUCUAAUAACUUUAAUUAAUAAAUAAGUAGGAAAGAAUUGUUUUUUCUUUUUAAUUUUAUUUUAUCAAUUAAAAUAGAAUAAGUCUAUGCAUAUUUUUAAACAAUACUAUAGGUCAUAUGUAUGAGAUCAUAGUAAUCAAAUCAUUAAUUUUUCUUUGGUUAACAUUCAAAAAAUUCUAAUAAAAUAGGAAAUAUUUUUUAUUUCUUAAUCUUUUUCGAAUUAAAGUAUGUUAAUCAUUUGCUAUAAAAAGUUGUUAUUAUUAUUAAAAGAAGGGAAAAUGGUCAAAAAUGUCCUUAAACUAUGUGAAAUGAACAAAAAUGCCUUCUGUUUAUGAUUUGAUCCAAAAAUGCCAUUGUCGUCAAUACUUUAGUCCAAAAAUGCCCUCAUUGUAAUUUCAUGGAUCAAAAAUGCUCAUUUUCCAAAUAAAUAUAUCAUUUAUUUUCUUUUUAACCCAAUUUUUUUAAAUAAUAUUUUAAAAAAAAUUAGCAAAUGUUUAUCCUACGUUAAUUCAGAAAAAAAUAAAAAAUAAAAAUAUUUCUUAUUUUAUUAUAAUUAUUUUUUAUCGUUAUAUAAAUAAAAAUUAAUGAUGGAUAUACUAUGAUCUUAUAUAUAUGGAAUAUGUUAUUCGUCGAAAGGGUACAUGAAGUUAUUCUAUUUUAAUUGAUAAAAUGAGAUUAAGAAGAAAAAAAUAAUUUCCUACAUAUUUAUUUGUUAAAGUGAUUUUAAAAGAAAGAAAAUAAGAAUAUGAGUCUUGAAUAAUAUUUUAAUUAGGAAGAAGAUGUGUUUAAAAGAAAAAGUAUAAUAUAUAUUUAUUCAAAAAAGGGCAUUUUUGACUCAUUUAGUAACUAUAGGGGCAUUUAAUUUCUAGACCAAAGUAUUGACGACAAGGACAUUUUUGAACCAAAGUAUUGACGGCAACGACAAUUUUGAGUCAAAUUAUAAACGAAUGGUAUUUUUAAUCACUUCACAUAGUUUAAGGACAUUUUUUUACUAUUUUCCCUUAAAAUAAUGCGUUUAUAAAGAAAAUAAUUAAUUUUUGUUUUCUAAUUGAAGUAGAAUAACCAUUUUCUAUAUUAAAAAAAUGAAUAAUAUAUUUACUUGGACCAUCAAUGACUUAUUUGGAAUAAAUUAUUAAUUUAGGGUAUUUUUGUUCAAUUUCGGACUAUUUAAUGACAUUUGUUAAGCCUUAAGAAUGUCUGUUUGAUACAUUAAUGAGGGUUGCUUAUUGAACGGAUAAAGUUACACUCAACGGUUUGACUUAUUUAACAACUUUAAAUGUACUAAUAUGCUAGCUUAUUAUCAAUAAAAUAUCGGUUGAAUCCAUCGGUGACCUCCUAAAGUUGGCACCAACGUUUCACUUAGCACCUCAACUAAGCUUUGUUCAUUUUAGACACUUCAUGUCGUGUCCCGUUGUGUUAAUUUUUAUAAGUUAUUUUUUAAACUACAUAGACACUUUUGAUAAGUUUUUUUUUAAACUACAUAGACACACUAACUGAACAAAAUUGUAUUAUUUAUAGUGAACAAAGCAUCUGACAAUAAACCAAGUCAAUUCUUUAUACCCAAGUGUGAUUAACUUCAUCGAGUGUUAAUCUGAUAGCACAAUAUCAAUAAGUUAAUUUUGUGGUUGAGUUAUCGCAUACAUUUCAAUCUUGAACCAUAUUCUUAUUUUCUUAAAGAAUCAUAUUCUUAUUUUUUUCCCUAAUAACUUUAAUUAAUAAAUAAGUAGAAAGAAUUAUUUUUUCUUCUUAAUAUCAUUUUAUCAAUUAAAAUAAAAUAACUCUACAUAUCUCUUUAACUGAUAAUAUUGAUCAUACAUAUAAGAGAAUAGUAAUCCAAUCAUUAAUUUUCAUUUGGAUAACAAUAAAAAAAUAAUCUAAAGAUGAUAGAAAACUAAAAAAUAUGCCUUUCAUAUAUUAAUGUUACCAACUUUCACACAAGAAUUACCAUUUAAAAAAAAUGAAAUAUUGAAUGAUUCAGAUCUCAAUUAUUAAAUGAGUGACUUUAAUCUUUCAUGAUAAUUUCCCCAUUUUCUUCCUUCCCUCGAUAUAAUUUUGUGUGCUUGUGUUAUUAAACAAUUUAUUUACUACUAGUUCUAACUAUUUUGUAAUAAUCAAAUAUAAAUUAAAGCUUAAAAAAAAGAAAGUAGGUGUACCUGAUAGGUUGGAAUUUGGCUGAUGCAGUUCCUUGAUUGGAGUAAAUAUUAAUUAUAAGUGUGUUUUUUCAAAAGAUGGAAAUUGACAAAUUAACCAAGCACUUCAAUUCUAUUUAUAAGUAUAUUUUUUUUAAAAUAAAAAUAAAAUUUAGUUCAAUACUUGACUUGAAUGUGAGGGUAAGAUGGGUCAUAAUUUCCAAUUUAUUCUUUACUUAAACCAUAUAUAGGCAUCUUACCUUUUUUCUCAUGAAAAAGCAAAAGGAAAGUAUAAUGUUGGAGAAUUAAAAAAAUAAUAAUCAUAUUUUUACUUUUGUCUGGAUGUAAAUGUUACAAAAAGAUAAAUGAAUAUUUCAAACGGAAGUAUUUUUCGUGAAGAACUCUUUUUUUCAUUUUAGUUGUAACUAUUCAUUCCGUAGUUCUGUUUAAUAUUAGUUGAUCAUUUUAUUAAAAAUAUAUAGUUGUCCAUCUUUCUAAAUGAAGAAAACAUUAAUAAUUUUUUUUCUAUAUUAUCCAUGCAAUUAAUUCUUUUUUAAAGUGCUCACAUUUGUUUAUUAAAUUUUCAAACUUUUUUUAAGGGAUGAAUUAAUAAAAUUAACUUCUUAUUUAAGAUACUUAAUAUUCUUGUAAAAAAACGAAAAUGAUCAACUGAGAUCGGGAGAGUAAUAAAACAACUUGCACUUCGCGUGACAGUGAAGAAAAUUAUAUACAUCCCCUUUAUUAAAAGAGAAUACUUUUUCUCAUCUUAAACCUAUUAACUGUCACAAAUAAUUAUUAGCCAUAUAUUGAGAAGUUAAUGUUUUUGACGAUUAACAGUAGAAAUAAUUUGUAAAUUGUGAGCUAUAUAUAUAUAUAUAUAUAUAUAUAUGUAUAUAUCAAUUGUCUACUUGCACUUGCUAGAACAGGUAAUUUUUAUUAGGGGUAAAAAAAUUGAAUCGGAAAAAGUGCAAUUAAUUUAUUGCUAUUGGGCUAUUGGGUCAACAAUUUUUAAUGAUUUUAUAAAAAAAAAAUUUAUUGGAUUAUCGGUUUGGUUUUGACUUUUUAUAUUGAGUUAUUGGGUAUACUGAUAACCCGAUAAGAUUAUAGUAAUAUAGUACUUUAUCUGUACAUAAAUAUUAAAUAUUAAUCUCAAUAACAAAACGUCAAAAAAUAAAGUAAGAACACUAUUCCUAUUAAUUUCUCUUUGUGUUACACUUGUAUAAUUUUUUUCAUAUUAGUUACUAUUAUUGUUUCUAUUUUAUGAACAUUUGUAAAGUUACGUUAUUAUCUUGUCAUGUUAAAUUGUUAGAGAAGUCAUAUAUUUGUUUUAAAAACAUUUUCUUAUUGGUUAAAUUAAUUGACCGAUAAACCAUAACCAAAAACCGAUAAACUAAAAUGACAAUACAUAAAAUCGAUCCGAACCGAUCGAUGCAAAGCCAUAACUUAUAUUAUGAACUUUGAUUCUUGAAGAAGAAAAUAAUUAAAGCUACUAAUUCCAAAGUAAAUAUGCAUUAGACAAUAAAUAAAUCUUUUAUAAAUCACAAGCCACAAAUACAUCAACUUGAGAAAGCAAUCAAACAUUUUAUUUAUUUAUUUCAAAUACAAACAGGCAUAGAAGAUGCUCUCCAGCAAAGACUUAAUCAUUCUGAAAUGCAUCUGCAAUUUAUUAGACAAACAAAUAAUAAGUUGAUGAAUUAAAUACAAAUUAGCUUAUUUUGAGAUAUUAAAAGUAAAUAACUAACCUGUUGACAGUUGACACAUUGGGAUUUUCAUAUUCUCAGCUUUGCAAGUUUUUCCGAGAGCCUAACGUUGGAAUCAGUUCUUUCUAUAAGUAAUAGCUUUUUCAAUUUAGGCAUACUGACAACAUCCCUGCACGUUACUUCAUACAACCCAUUUGAUUCUUGAAUAUGCAAAACUUCAAGUUGCAGAAAGCUAUCACCAUCACCAGAGAGAUCCAUUUUUUCUUCCAUAUGGUUGCACCGAUACAUUUUAAGUAUCCUUAAUUUGGGCAAUUUCUUAAGCACUGCCUCUACAUGACCGUCUACCAUCAACCUAAUAAGAGUAAGCUUGACAAGAUUUGGAGGGAAUGCUUCAGAGUUCAAGGGCAUUCUUCCGUUCAAAUGCAACUUAACAAUAUUUGGAUACGACGACAAGUUUAUUUGCUCACUCGUGUCCCUGAAAAAGUAGAGCUUCAGAACCUCCAGCGUUGUUGCCACAGGGCUCAAUGCUGAUAAUAUCUUAACUGUAGAAUCAGAUCCACUCAAUAUACCCAGUUUUCUUAAAUUGACAAAUCGGUGCACCAAUCUCAGUUCAAAAAAAUUAUCAUACAUCCACAUCAAAGUUUGUAGAUUAUUAGGAGGCAAUGAGUACACGUUUGAGAAAACUGGGUUUAAAGAUAAGCAACUGUCAGAUACUUGAUUGAAACCUUUAUAACGAAGAUGUCUCAAUUGUGUAGUCUUCCAAUCACCAGUAGGAAGUUCAGUGAAGCUAUUACCAAUAUCUAUGGUCUCUAGACGUUUGAGCUUCACCAUACAAUUUGGCAGUUUCCCAUACAUAUCCCCCUCGAAUCGCAGAUAGCGUAAGCAACUCAUGUUCCCAAAUGUGUUUGGGAUUCUGACACCAUAAAAAUCAUCAAUAAAGAUGACUACAACCAACACUUGCAAUAAUUUGAAAUUAAGAUGAGCCAUAUGAGAAAAUAUGCAACUGUCAUUUAUGAAACAGAAAAGUGCACGAAGCUUCCUAGGCUUAGGAUUUGAACGGAAGAACUCAUUCAUGGCAUUAUUAUUAGAGUAGAAUGUAAUCCUUCGCACCUUAGCAACAUUGUCGGGAUCACCAAAUGCAUUGUGCUCAGUGUGAAAGAAAUUACUUUCCUUAGCCAAGUCAACACACAAACUAUGUAACAAGUCAUGUAUGCGACAACUUGAAAUUCUUCCAUCAUAUGUCCUUUUGGCAACUUGAAUCAAGUGUCUAGAAACCAAAUCAUUUAGGAUAUCCUCCGCCAAACUUUCAGCCUCUCGCCUAUUAUCACUAUUUACAACUAUCAACUUCUCAGCAAUCCACAUAUUUAUCAAAUCAAAAGCACGAAUUUCAUGGUCCUCGGGGAAAAGGCCAAAGUACAAGAAACAUGGCCUUGAUGCAAUGGGCAAAUCAUUGUAACUCAGAGACAAUACCUCAGCACAUCCAUCCUGAAUAUUAUGACCUAUACGCUCAAGCACUCUGUUCCAUGCAUGUUCUGUUCUUUCUCUUGCCCUUAACACGCCUGCUGUCACAACAAUGGCUAAUGGUAUACCUCCGCAUCUCUGAACUAUACUUUUACCAAUAUCUACCAAGAAAGGUGAAGCAUUGACCCAAUUAUUAUUAUUAUCAAAAAUAAAGAUUUUCUUGGUAAAGAGUUCAAAACUUUUCUCUGAAUCUAAGGGUUGCAACUCGUGGAGAGAGAAAUCCUCUCCUAUGUAUCUGCCUACAUGAUCAUAUCGAGAAGUGAUAAUUAUCCUACUGCCAAUUUUUGAAUCACAUUCAGGACGAAGGACACGGUUCAGAGCAUCCCAAAUUUUAGUAUCCCAAAUGUCAUCUAAGAGAAUAACAUACCUUUUUGUUUCCAAAAGUGAUCGUAGAUUGUCCUCCAAGUGUUCUUUCCUUUCCUCCUCCGUCAGUCCAACUUGCUUGGCUAUGUCAAGUAAGAUUUCUCCUGCUCUUGGCUGUUGUGAAACGUAGACCAGUGCAGAACACUCAAAUUGUUGACGGACAUGCCUAUAAAGUUUCUUGGCAAGAGUUGUUUUUCCUAGACCGGGCAUGCCAACUAUUGAAACAACUCCAUUACACAAAUCUUGAACAAGCAAUUUGUCUUGGAGCUUAUUGAAGUCAUCAUCCAAACCGAUGACCUCUGUUUCAUCAGCAUGAAGGAAUUUUCUUCUCUGUUCCAUUGGAAUGCAAUCAUUAUUGUUGUUACUUGUGUCUGUGAUGUUGAAAGUUGUCCUUAAACUAUCAAUGUCAGCAACCCUUCUUCUUAUCUUCUCAAUCUCCAUAGCAAACUCAUCGGCAAAAGAAACCGUCUUAAGGCAACAAAUUGCGCCUUUGAACUUAUUGGAUUGUUGGAUUUUUGGAAGAAACUCAUCUAAGAGAUCCUCUACAUCACCUGCCAAUUCUUGAAUAUCUUUUAAUAAGUUUUUGACCCUUGAAUCGCCUCCAACUUCCUUGGCCUUUGCAUCGUCUACAUAUGAUCGAAUGUGUCUCAGUACUCUCUGGAGCCAAUCGAUGUCCUCUUUCAAAAAAUUCAAGCGGCUCCCUUCUUGAAAGAGUAGAUUUGCAGCUAUUUCUACAGAUUUAUUGAUGACUGCUGUAAGAAGAAUUUCAGCCAUCUCCUUUAAUUUUUCGUUAAAUUUCUUUUUUCUAAAUGUGAGGAUGAGGAAGGGAAAGUAAGAGAAAAAGGAUAAAGAAAGAUGUACUAUUUGCUUUAGUGUUGGAGUCAACGGCCCAAGUCUUGUAAACACAAUAAUUCAUCUUUUGUUAAUCAUGUUAGCUGGUAUUUCGUUUUCAAGCAUGAAUAACAAACGUUGAAAGUUAGAAUAUUCAGGCAGUACUACGCGUAAAACGAAAUUAGAAAGAAGGAGAUAAUUGGUAAAGGAAAAGAAAGGUCAGCUUAGAAUAGUUGGAGUCCACUGCCAAGUCUCCUAAUAAUGUCAAGUAAAAGAAAAACGAAAGAACAAAGGAACAACACAUGCUGUGGAUAAGAUACUAGUAGAAUAGUCAAAAGAAAUUACACCGUUCGUCCCAAUUUAAGUGUCAUUCAAUUAAAUUCGACAUGAAAUUUAAGAAACAAACAGUAACUUUUAAUAUUUUGUGGCUGAUGAUUGAUAAUGUACCUUUUUUUGAAAAAAUUAUGUAACUAAGCAAACAUCUUUAGUAUAUAACUAUCAAUCACACCAUAUGUUUAAAAAAAAUUAUUAUAUAUUUAGACGCCAUUUUAUGUUUCCUAACUGUUUGAUGAACGUCUUGCAAAACUUUACCCAAUUUGGUUCAUGGCUGUGAGUUUGGGCUAUUAUGAGACUCAAUUUGUAUGUUCCAUGAAAUUAAAUUAGGCUUUUAUGCAAUUUGAUUCUCUCAAAAUCUUUUGCCAUACUCAUACAGAGUGGGCGUUCGGUUCGAUAUUUAUUUAACUUUGAUUUGAUUUGAUCGUGAGACAUCAUCAUAAUGAUUCGAGUAGAAUGGUCGGAAUUUCUUCACUUUUUUGGUAAGGAGUGUUCUGUUCUAAAUUUUACUGAUUCGACUAAUUCAAAUUUGUAUCACAUAAUACCGAUUUAAGAAAGAAAUACUUUUUAUCAAAAAAAAAUCAUUUUCAAAGCUCGAAUUGAUUUUUUGUUGGUUUCAUUAUGUGUAAUCUUCAAGUCCUUGUGGUAUCACAACACAAGUUAGGAUAUUUGGAGGUUAUUUCACAAGAACUUACAACAAGAAAAGGAAAAACAAAGAUAUAAUUUGAGGAAAUAUGAAAGUCUUGCAUUAAAGUUAAAAAAAAGUAGUAGUUGUUUGCUCGUGAAAUUCAAAUAUUUUUCACUAAAAUUUAUAGAAUUGAAAUUGAAAAUAGAGUUGGGUUUAAAUUAUUUUUUUAUUGCGAAUGAAACAACCGAACGAUUGGAGAUUGGAGAAUUUUACCAUCAAACUACUUUUGAAAUAAAGUGAAAAAUUAUUUCAAAAAAAAAUAUAAAUAAUUCACAUAACAUCCUAAAAUAGCUUUCUCAAUCUCAACAAUUGCUCAUUUAUAAACUACGGAAAAAGGUCAAAACUGCCCUUGCACUAUGUGAAAUAGACCACUUAUACCCUCCGUUACAUUUUACGAUAAAAAAUGCCCGUUGUUAUCCUAAGAGACCACAAUUACCCUUAAAACUUAACAGAAAUGAUACAUGACACUAAUUCCACCACCUAGGCCUGCCAACUAGGAUACUCACUAAAUAUUUUGACCCAAUUAAUAAUUCAACCCUAACCCAUUUUUAUUGGACCCAAUCCACUAAAAUUAAGAGGGAAACAUCAUCUUUUUUUCACCUCAUUCCGUUUUACUAUUAAAUUCACCAAGGACGAUUUUUUGAAGACUUUUACGAGCUUAGCUUACUUGGACCAUGAUUGUGUGCCGCCAUAGAUUUAAAAACUAUGCUCUGGCACCAUUCUAUGCUUAGAAAGCUUGGGCUUGUGUUUUAUGUGGCUUUCCAAAAAAAUUUUGAGAAGCUCCACUUUUGUGAUGAUUAUACCCCACAACCACAAGUUUCUACGUUUUUAGCUUGUCGUCUAGCGGAUUAGCACUACGACAAAUAUAGGAGGGUGAUUGAUAAAAUGUGAAUACAAGAUUAUAAACAUGUAGGGGCAUAUCAAUGUUGCAUCCAUUUGUCUCUUACAGUGAUGAAUUUCAAUGAUUUUGGUUAUAAAGUAUAACACCAUAGAACCAUAAAGUUAAAUUUUCAAGCUUAUGUAUCUUUUCUAGUCCAUUGUGUCAUUAGAUUUUAAAGCUAGCAUUCCUAAGGUAGAGAUGUAAGGUAAACAAAAUAUUUUGCAGGCAAGAGAAACAAAUUAUAUAAAAAUCUUUUGCUUCCCCUGCUUAUUUACAACUAAUUUAUCAAUGAGUUAUUACUUUAAUUUCUUCCCUGGUUUUUUAUAACUUCAUCAAUGUACAUAUAUAUAUAUAUACUUUUGCCUUCAUAAACUUUGGGAGGUUUACAACUCCUUAAAAAAACAGCAAAUUGUUGUACCUUCUCCUCGUUAAUUCUGGCGCAACAUUUAAUACUGGGUUUGAAACAGAACAUGUGGACUGCAGAUGGAACGGUUAGUUCAACCUCAUGGCUACAACCAAGCUUGAAGUAUAUAGAAGGUUUUGUCCUUACGAUUUGGACAAUAUUCAAAACUUUCAAAAUCUUUCAUCAUGACAAAACAUUAAGGAGUGAGUACGUUCUGGUUGUUGGCAUGUGAUUAAGAGGUUAGUAUGGAUCGAGUUUUGAAAAUAGACUCUUAUAAAAAAUACUAAUAAAAUUACAUAUAAUAGAUUCUUGUGAUCCAUCUCUUCUUUGGACUCCGCAUAUAACCGGAAUUUAGUACACAUGGUUAAUAAGUUAUUUAUUUUUUUAUUAUCUUUUUGCAUAAUUGAGAUGCCACUUUUGCUCAUUUUAUAUUCCCUGCUAGUAGAAUUUAAGAAGGUUUACAUGAUUUAUCCACUCUUACAAUCCUAUAUUUCAAGACCUGUAUUAUUUUUAUUGACUAAACAUGGAUAAUGAUAACUACUGUCAAUACUAAUAAAAAUGUUUUCCACGUUAGAGUUGUGGGUUCGAGAAUAGCAGGCUUUAAAUUUGGUAGUUGGAGAAAUGCAUUGCAAGUUAUUUAUAAUGUGGUUCUAUCGUCUACAUUGAGGUGUGAAUAAUUUUGCAAUAAAUUAUUCUAUCCGUUUAUUUUAACUUAUUACAUUUCGUUUUGAGAUUCAAACUAUAUGAAUUUGGAUCAAUAUUUUAAGAUGAAUAAUUUUGCAAUAAAUUAUUACAUCCGUUUAUUUCAACUUAUUACGUUUCAUUUUUUGAGAGUCAAACUAUAUGAACUUUGAUUAACAUUUUAAGAUGAAUAUUUUUGCAAUUAAUUAUUCUAUCCUUUUAUUUUAACUUAUUACGUUUCGUUUUUUGAGAGUUAAAUGAUAUAUAUAUGAACUUUGAGAUGUAUUUUUUCAUCAUAUUAAUAUGAGAAAGAUUGAUCAUAUAUAGUUUUUAAAUAUUUAAAUUUAAAAUUUAAAAUAUUGAGUGAAUUUUAUUCAAUUUGACUCUCAAAGUUAAUCAAAUUAACUCUCAUGAAACAUGACAAAUAAAUCCAUUUUCUUGGUUUUCCACCCGGUACUCACAUCCAAAUCGUUCCACGCAUAUUCAGAAUUAUGGAGUAUUAAAUGAAAUAUUUAGUUCAUGAACUAACUAGUACAAAUUUUUUAAAAUCACCUUAUCGAGCAUAUUAAAUGUAAAUAGUUAACGCAGUAAACUAACCUGUGAGAUUUUCAUAUUCUCAGCUUUGCAAGCCGUUUGGAAAGACUUAUUAGGGAACGGAGUCUUACAAGUAAUAGCAAUAUUACCGAGAUCACCAAAUGCAUUGUGCUCGGUGUGAGAGGUUGCAUGAAAUUUCUUUGUCUAGCUUUUCUCAUUGGAACACCUUUUACGAUCAGAAGAUUCUCUCCAACACAGACUUAAAUCAUUUUCAAAGGCAUCCCUGCAAUUUAUUAGAGAUGGAAUAUUUAGUUGAUGAACUAAAUACAAAUUUCAAAAAAUCAUGGAUAUUAAACGUAAAUAAUUAUUUAUAGUACCUGUGAGAUUUUUAUAUUCUCAACAUUGCAAGCCGUUCCGAGACCCUGAGACUAAUUGGGGAAUAAAUGAUUGGGCCUUGUACAAGUAAUAGCUUUUUCAAUUUAGGCAUACUCAUAUCAUCCAUGCACGUUAUUUCAGACAACCCGCGUGCAUCCUCAAUAUGCAGAACUUCAAGUUGCGGAAAGCUAUCACCAGAGAGAUCCAUUUUUUCUGCAUCAUGGCUGCACCUAAGCAAUGUAAGUAUCCUUAAUUUGGGCAAUUUCUUAAGCACUGCCAAUAGAUGACCGUCUACCAUCAAGCCGACAAGAUUAAGCUUGACAAGAUUUGGAGGGAAUGCUUCAAUGUUCAAGAGCAUUGCUGAGAAACCAAACAAACCCAACUCGACAAUAUUUGGAUGGGACGACAAGUUUAUUUGCUCACUCGUGUUCUUGAAAAUUCUGAGCUUCAGAACCUCCAACGCUUUAGGCACAGGGCUCAAUGCUGAUAAUAUCUUAAUGGUAGAACCGGAUACAUCCUUUAUACACAAUGUUCUUAAAUUUAUCAAUCGGUGCAACAAUCUCGGUUCACAAAAUUUAUCAUCCACCCACAUCAAAGUUUGUAGAUUAUUACGAGGCAAUGAGUACACGUUUGGAAAAAAUGGGUUUAUACAAAAGUAAUUGUAAGGUGCUAGAUUAUAACCUAUAGAACGAAGAUGUCUCAAUUGUGUAGACUUCCAAACACCAGUAGGAAGUUUAAUAAAGAAGCUUUUACCAAUAUCUAGGGUCUCUAGAUGUUUGAGCUUCACCAUACAAUUUGGCAGUUUCCCAUCAGGGUCUCUAGACAUUUGAGCUUGACAAUACUAUUUGGCAAUUUUACUCUAAUUCUCCCCUCCAAUCGCACAUAGCGUAGGCAACUCAUGUUCCCAAUUUUGUUUGGGAUAGUAAUUACAUGCUGAUAACGAUCUCGAGACGUGACUACAACCAACACUUGCAAUAAUUUGAAAUCAAGAUGAGCCAGUUGAGAAAAUAUGCAAGGGUCUUCUGUAAAACAGAAAAGUGCACGAAGCUUCUCAAGCUUAGUAUUUGAACGGAAGAACUCAUUCAUGGCAUUAUUAUCAGAGUAGAAUGUAAUCCUUCGCACCCUAGCAACAUUGCUGGGAUCACCAAAUGCAUUGUGCUCGGUGUGAAAGAAGUUACUUUCCUUAGCCAAAUCCACACACAAACUAUGUAACAAGUCAUGUAUGCGACAACUUGAAAUUCUUCCAUCAUAUGUCCUUUCGACAACUUGAAUCAAGUUUCUAGAAACCAAAUCAUUUAGGAUAUCCUCUGCCAAACUUUCAGCCUCUCGCCUAUCACCACUAUAGUUUACAACUAUCAACUUCUCAGCAAUCCACAUAUUUGUCAGAUCAAAAGCACGAAUUUCAUGGUCCUCGGGGUAAAGGCCAAAAUACAAGAAACAUGGCCUUAAUGCAAUUGGCAAAUCAUUGUAACUCAGAGCCAAUACCUUAGCACAUCCAUCUUGAAUUUUAUGACCCAUACUCUCAAGUACUCUGUUCCAUGCACGUUCUGUUCUUUCUCUUGCCCUUAACAUGCCUGCGGUCACCUCAAUGGCUAGAGGUAUACCUCCACAUCUUCCAACUAUACUUCUACCAAUAUCUACCAAGUCUGGUGAAGCAUUGGCCCAAUUAUUAUUGUUAUCAAAAGUAAAGAUUUUCUUGGUAAAGAGUUCAAAACUGUUUUCCGAAUCUAGAGGUUGCAACACGUGUAUUGAGAAAUCCCCUCCUAUGUAUCUGCCUACAUUACUAUUUCGAGAGGUUAUAAUUAUCCUACUGCCAAUUUUUGAAUCACAUUCAGGAAGGACAAGUUUUAGAUCAUCCCAAAUUUCAACAUCCCAAAUGUCAUCUAAGAGAAUAACAUACCUUUUUAUUUUCAAGAGUGAUCGUAGGUUGUUCUCCAAGUUUUCUUUCCUUUCCUCUUCCAUCAGUCCAACUUGUU